UUUCGAUAGCUUCGUAUCGUAUGGCACCAACGGAAUUAAAGGAGUUGAAAGCUCAGUUGCAAGAGUUGAUGGAUAGAGGUUUUGCUCGCCCGAGUUUUUCACCUUGGGGUGCACCAGUGUUGUUUGUGAAAAAGAAUGACGGAACCAUGAGGUUGUGCAUCGACUAUCGUCAUCUUAAUAAAGUGACAAUAAAGAAAAAAUAUCCGUUACCGCGUAUCGAUGAUUUGUUCGAUCAACUGAAGGGAGCCUCAGUGUUCUCAAAAAUAUAUUUGAGAUCGGGCUAUUAUCAGUUGCGAAUUCGAGAUUCGGACAUACCCAAAACUGCCUUCAGAACGAGAUAUGGUCACUACGAGUUCUUAGUGAUGCCGUUUGGGCUCACUAAUGCCCCUGCGGUAUUUAUGGAUUUGAUGAAUCGGAUCUUCAGACCAUAUUUGGAUCGGUUCGUAGUUGUGUUCAUUGAUGACAUCUUGGUCUAUUCAAGAGAUGAGACCGAACAUGCUGAGCACCUGAGAUUAGUGUUACAAAUUUUAUGGGAUAAGCAGUUAUAUGCCAAGUUCAGUAAAUGUGAGUUUUGGUUACGAGAAGUUAGCUUUUUGGGUCAUGUAGUAUCUGUAUCGGGCAUUCGAGUUGAUCUGAGCAAAAUUUCAGUCAUACUUAACUGGAAGCCUCUAAGAAAUAUUACCGAAGUUCGGAGCUUCCUGGGGCUCGCCGGUUAUUACCGAUGAUUUGUAAAAGGUUUCUCGAUGAUAGCCACACCAAUGACAAAGCUACUUCAAAAGGAUGUUAAGUUCGAAUGGACGGAGAAAUGUCAGAAAAGUUUCGAUCAACUGAAAACUUAUUUGACUGAAGCUCCAAUUUUAGUGCAACCCGAAUCAGGCAAAGAGUUUGUCAUUUAUAGUGACGCAUCCCUACUUGGGUUGGGUUGCAUAUUGAUGCAAGAAGGUCGAGUUGUGGCCUAUGCGUCGAGACAAUUGAAGCCGCACGAGAGAAAUUAUCCGACCCAUGAUCUCGAACUAGCCGCCAUCGUAUUUGCUUUAAAAAUAUGGCGACAUUAUUUGUUUGGUGAGAAGUGCCAUGUAUUUUCGGAUCACAAAAGUCUCAAAUAUUUGAUGACCCAGCGAGACUUGAAUCUGCGACAAAGGCGUUGGCUUGAGUUGUUGAAAGAUUAUGAGCUUGUCAUUAAUUAUCACCCGGGAAAGGCUAAUGUGGUUGCGGACGCCUUAAGCCGAGAAUCACUGUUUGCUUUGCAAGCGAUGAAUGUACACUUGUCUAUUCUACCCGACAAUGUGUUAGUAGCUGAUUAAAAGCCAAACCAUUAUUGAUUCAUCAAAUUCGUGAAGCUCAGAAAGUCGAUGAUGAAUUGGUUGCAAAACGGGCUGAGUGUGUUCCGAACAAGGAAUCGGAGUUUCAAAUUGAUGAUGAUGAUUGUUUGAGGUUCAGAAGUAGUUUGUGUGUUCCAAGGAAUUCGGAACUCAUUUCGAUGAUUCUGAACGAAGCCCAUUGUAGUCGAAUGUCAGUUCACCCGGGGAGUACGAAAAUGUACAACGAUUUGAAACGUCAGUUUUGGUGGCAUGGUAUGAAACGAGACAUCUCCGACUUUGUUUCGAGAUGUUUAAUAUGUCAACAAGUGAAAGCGGAACAUCAAGUGUCUUCAGGAUUACUUCAGCCGAUCAUGAUACCCGAGUGGAAAUGGGAUCGAGUCACAAUGGACUUUGUGUCCGGACUGCCAUUGUCAGCAAGUAAGAAGGAUGCGAUUUGGGUUGUUGUUGAUAGACUGACUAAGUCAGCUCACUUUAUCCCCGUGCGUACGGAUUUUUCAUUGGAUAAACUAGCUGAAUUGUACGUUUCCCAGAUUGUGAGAUUACACGGGGUACCGAUUUCUGUUGUGUCGGAUAGAGAUCCGAGAUUCACCUCGCGAUUUUGGAAGAAAUUGCAAGAAGCUUUGGGUACCAAGCUGCAUUUUAGCACCGCUUUUCAUCCACAAACCGAUGGUCAAUCCGAGCGGGUAAUUCAGAUACUUGAGGAUAUGUUGAGAUGUUGCAUCCUUGAGUUUAGUGGUUCAUGGGAACGGUAUUUACCAUUGAUUGAAUUCGCUUACAACAAUAGUUUUCAAUCAAGUAUUAAGAUGGCACCUUACGAGGCUUUGUACGGGCGUAAAUGCCGUACACCAUUGUUUUGGACCGAGCUCGGUGAAAGUAAAAUUUUCGGAGUGGAUUUGAUUAAAGAUGCUGAACAGAAAGUAAAAGUAAUCCGUGAAAGUCUAAAGAUAGCCUCAGAUCGCCACAAGUUGUACGCGGAUCUGAAACGAAAAGACAUUGAGUAUCAGGUGGGAGAUAAGGUGUUUCUUAAAGUUUCACCUUGGAAAAAGAUACUCAGAUUUGGGCGUAAGGGCAAAUUGAGUCCGAGGUUCAUCGGGCCAUACAAAAUAUCCGAACGAGUCGGUCCAGUUGCGUAUCGAUUGAUUUUGCCCCCUGAACUUGAAAAGAUUCACGACGUCUUUCAUGUUUCGAUGCUUCGACGCUAUAGAUCUGAUCCAUCGCACAUAAUUAGCCCAUCAGAGGUCGAAAUUCAAGCUGAUAUGAGUUAUGAAGAAGAACCGAUGCGUAUCCUAGCUCGUGAAGUGAAAGAGUUGCGAAACAAAAGGGUUCCGUUAGUAAAGGUGUUAUGGCUCAAACACGGGAUCGAGGAAGCUACUUGGGAAACCGAGAGCUCGAUGAAAGAAUGAUACCCAAACCUAUUUACCGGUAAGAUUUUCAGGGACGAAAAUUUCUUAAGUGGGGGAGAGUUGUGACAGCCCUAAAGUGACCCUAGUCGGAAAGCGGUCUCGGGACUGCUAGACCGAGUCACCAAAUUAUUUGGAUAUGAUAAUUAUUUCCUAAAAUAUGUGAAUAUAAAUGUGUGAAAGUUUUAAGCUUCGAUUUAGUUAAUUGCAUGUGAAUUUAGUUUAUAGGACUUAUGUGAGAAAAUUUAGAAAUGUGCUAGGCAAAUGCAAGUGGCCUAAUAGUGCAUGUAAUCAAAAGGGUGGAAUUGUAUGUCAAUUUCCCCCCAUUUAAGUACUAGUGGCCGGCCAUGACAAGGGAUGAUGGGCAAAACAUGUCAUGAAACAUGUUGUGUUAAUGGAAAAAUAAAAUAAGAAGCAUGGGCAAUAAACUAAUAAGAAAUUGAAGGAAGAAAACAAAGAAAAAAAAAUGUGUUCAUCAUUCUCAUGCAUGACCGAAAAAAAAAAAGAAGGGAAAGGCUUCAUACUUUAGUUCUUCUUAGCUGUGUAGAAGGGGGAAAAGGGAAAAAAAAAGAGAACAAAAAGUCUUUCUCAUUUUGUUCUUCUUGGCCGAUUGUGAAGAGGAAGUAGGGAGGGAGGCAUUCGGUCAUCCUAGGCUAAUAGCAAGCUCAAGAGCUUAGAGGACCAAAGUUGGAUAAGGGGAAGGAAAAAGUGAUCGAAUAGCCGUCGAAACCGUUCGACAACAUCCGAGGUAAGUCUUCGAGUAAUGACCCUACUUGAAUUAUAUUGAAAUGAUUAGUCAUACUAUGACGGAUAGCCGAAUGUGCAUAGAGACUAUGUUAUAAAGCCAAUUGAAAUCAUGCUCUUUGUGUGUGGCUAUUGAGCCGAAAUUGGAAAGGUUUAAUAAAUGUUUUGUGUUUGAGCCUUAGUAACGAAAAUGAAAUAUGGAUGUGUCAUGAUUAUUGAUAUAUGUGUGCAUGAGCAUUUGAAUGAUAUCCGGCUAAGUCCCGAAAGCAUUUAUGCUAGUGAUUUUAUCCGGGCUAAGACCCGAAGGCAUUUGUGCGAGUUGAAAUAUCCGGGCUAAGACCCGAAGGUAUUUGUGCGAGUUGCUAUACCCGGGUUAAGACCCGAAGGCAAUUGUGCUUGUGGUUAUAUCCGGCUAAAUUUCGAAGAAACUUGGGUUUGAAGGUGAGCGUUUUGUGCUGUAAUAAAUUCAAUUAAUACGCUCGAAAAACCCAAACGAUAAGGUAUGUUUGCAUGUGCAUCGGAAAAGUCGAUUCGUUUUAAAUAGUAUUCGUUCAAUCGACUAACGAACUUUCGGCUUUUAGAUAGGUUGAUACCUUGUGUGUGUAUAUGUUGAUGAAGUGUGAAGUAAGUAUGAUUAUGAGAAUGUGUAUUAAUAAAGUGAUUCAUUUAGCUAUGUGAAUGUAAUACUUUAGUCAAAGCCGAUUUCAUUACUUGAAACUUACUAAGCUUUAAAAUGCUUACCCCGUUGCUUUGGCUCUCUGUUUUAUAGAUUUUGUUCGUUAGCUAUCGGAUUCGGGAUCAUCGAAGUCGAAGUCAUCCACACUAUCAAAGCCCUUUUGGUACUCUUUUAGUUGAACUCUGGAUAUGGCAUGUAUAGGACUACCCUUUGUUGUUUUUCAAGUACUUUUUGUGAUGUAUGUGUGUACAGCCAUGCGAAAAUGGCUCGUAGAAGUGGAGUAUGGCAUUAGACCAUUUGUGUUUAUGUAUAUAUAUGGUUUCAUGAUGUGACUAUGGACUGGAAUGGAAGUGUUGGGCAAAUGAUCAGCCAUUGGAAUGGCUAAAUAUGAUCAUAUGUGGACCUAUGUAUGACAAAACUCUAGUUGGUCCAUGGUAACCACGAAAUAGGUAAAGUUUACCUUGAAAACAGAUGCUGACAGCAGCAGUGGUGUGGAUUUGAAAAAUCACUACAAUUUGUAGGAAUGGAAUUAAAUAGUUAAUAAAUUAUAUAAUAGAACCCUGAUGAAUCUAUUUUCAUAUGAAAGUAACAAAAUGAUCAUAUGAACAGUAUAUUAAGAGAUAUUAAAGUUCUCGUGAAAUAGGGCCAGAACGGUUUCUAGAUCCCCUGUUUCGACUUUGAAAAUUUACCAUAAAUUAUCCAGAGACAAUUAGAAGUCAUUCCUUAUAUUUAUAGAUUCCCUUUUGAGUCUAGUUUCAUUAGAAACAAACGGCAUGAGUAUUGAAGCUCUGUACAGGGAGAUAUCCAAGUCGUAAUAUGUGAAGGUCAGAGUAGUCGAACCCAGAAUCAGGGGAGACUUUAACUAAUAAACUGUACCAAUUGGCCAAACCAAAAAUUCUAGAAAUAAAUACACAGAUGGAUAUAUGAGUCUAAUUUUAGGGAAAAUUUACGGAAUCAGUUUUUGAGUUUUGGAACUCGAGAUAUGGUUUUUAAGGCGACAGUGACGCGGUUAGCCAGCCUGUCUGGAAUUUUUUUUUUAAAUGGACUGUGAAAACAAAGUAAUUAAGUCUGUUAGCACCUCGCGUUCGACUCCGGCAACGGUCUCGGGUACGGGGUGUUACAUCACAUCUCAUGGCAGGAUUACCAGUCCAGGCUAAAUCCUACAUAUCAUGAACUCAUAAGGUGAUGUCGGGAUUACCACUCCCGACUAAAUCCCGUAUAGCGACAAACACCCUUAAUGAGCUCGGAUCUGAAUUACCAAUCCAGGCUAAAUUCAGACCCUAAUCGGAUUACCCGUCCGGGCUAAAUCCAUAAUGUACACAUAUUCUUCGGAAGGCUUAAUCAUUCUAGGAACACCCGUCCAGGUUAGAUUCCUUUUCAUACUUGAGAUCACGGAUUACCCGUCCGGGCUAAAUCCUACUGCAACACAUGCAGGAUCUCAGUUCACAUGUCAAAGAGGGUUUGUCCAUCGAAUUCCCUUUUUCAACCUCAACCGAGACAUUUUUACAUGUUAUCAUCACAUAUGCAUUUCUACGAUAUUCAUGCCAAUAAUAAAUACAAUCAUCAUUGCAUUCAUAAAUCAUACAAUUAUACAUAUUAGGGGUUUACUUUAAGUUAUCUGAACUUACAUUGGUAUUCGUUUCAGAGAUAUGUUUUGGUUAUUCCAAAACCUUGCGUUUACCACGCUCGACCUCCAGAAUUUGUUUACCUCGAGGUCUAUAUCAACAAAAUUAACUCAUUAAUACACUACAUUAUGUAUUUCAAGUUUAAUAUCUACUUCCGUCCAAAUGACCAUUUUUCCCUUAACCUUUCACAUUUUUACGAUUUAGUCCCUUGGCUCGUAUAAUGAAACACAUGCACUUUCGAUCUUACCCAAGCCUAGCCGAACACUUUUCCUUCUUAUGGUAGCCUAAAUUAUCCGUUAUUUUCUCAUUUCUACCACAUAUUUACAUCUUUUGCAAAAUAGUCCCUACAAAGGUUUUUCAUGAAAAUUAACUAGGAAAAUAUGUUUGAUACACAUUCAUCUUUCAUAUUCCUCCAUAAUCCAUCAAAAUACAAGCAACUCAUGCAUGGGUAAAUUUUUAAACAUGAACCCUAGCAUGAAAUAUGGGUAGAAAUGGAGAGAGCAAGCUAUCGGGAUUUCAAAAAUACAAAUAGCAUGAAAAACGGGGCUUGGGAGCACUUACUAUUGAGCUUGGAAAGCUUGAAACCCUAGCUAUGGAGAACCCCAAAUUUUUGGUUGGAUGAAGGAGAAAAAUGGCUGAUUUUGGCUUGAUUUUUCCAAUUUUAAUUCAUUAAAAUGACAAAUGACUAAAAUACCCUUAUGCCCUUUCUUUAAAAUUUCAUCCAUGCAAGCCCAUUUUUGUCCAAAAAUUUAAAAUUUGGACAAAUUGCUCUCCAAGACCUUUUAAUUCAUAAUCUAAAGUAAUUUCAUACAAAUUGCUUCUAGAAAUCAAGUUUUGCAAUAUAUUCAAUUUAGUCCCUAAUUUCCAAUUGAACACCUUAUACUUAAAAUUUCUUCAUGAAACUUUAACAAAUGCUUAUACUCAUAUUCUAGGCCUCAUAAUAAUCAUAAAAUAAAUAUUUUGAUGUCAGAUUUGUGGUCCCGAAACCACUAUUCCUACUAGGCCCUAUUUCGGGAUGUUACACUACUCGGGACCCACUCGAGUCCAUUAACCAACACUAGGAAAAUGACCUUUGACACACCCGUGUGGAUGGGCAACACGCCCGUGGAACUUGAACAUGGUCGUGCUGAUGGCCGGUGUGACACACAAGGCCUAAGCACCUAGGGACACGCUCGUGUCCUAUACCCGUGUAGAUUUAUUUUUUAAUUCAAACCUACAAGGGUUUUCACGUGUCCAUGGCCCGUGUCCCUCACAUUUCCUCCACACGCCCGUAUCUCAGCUCGUAUUUGAAAACCUUGACAUUUUGUUUCUGACGUCAGCAAUCCUUAAGGGUCACACGGCCAAGGCACACGCCCGUGUGCUAGGCGGUACCCUUCACACGGCUGAGACACACGGCCGUGUCUCUGCCUGCGUGUUUACUACCAUGCAUACUGACUUGCAAUUUUUACAUGCAGGGGACACACGGCCGGAUAACAUGCUCAUGGGGCUGGCCAUGUGUCACACACGGCCUAGACAAACGCAUGUGUGUCUACCCAUGUGGACAAUAUGAAGCUAUCUAUCAAGCCUUUUGCCACCCUAAAACAUAAUUUAAUGCCAACCAACAUAUCAAAAUCUAACUUAAUAUGAUUUCUCGACCAAACAACCAUAGCUAAGGCUUAUAUACAUUUCAUUUAAUCAAACUUGCCAACAAUUUCACAUUCAUGAAAGACUAUCUUACAUUCUUAUAACAACUUUCAAUAUUAGCCAUUUUUCAUGGCCUUAUACAAAAUGAAUCAAAUGCUAGGGUAAGCCAUCACAUUUGGCCAAUUAACAAUGACACAAAACUCAAAAGUCUAAGUUCCUAUACAUGCCAUAUUCAAAAUGAUAAAUCUAAUUAUACCGAGUGCUUCAGCUGAUGGUGUGAUCGAUGCCUCCGACAUCUAUUGAUCCUCGAGAUAGUUAGUUGGUAGUAUAAGAAAAUGGAAAAGAAAGAGAGUAAGCAUAAAGCUUAGUAAGUUGCAUGCAAAGAAAUAUAACAACCACUUUACCAUUCAUCAUCAUGCUUAUAGUACAAAAGUAGGCAUAAGCACAACUUACUCAUCACUAACCAAUACAAUUCACAUAUCAUAUAUAUUGAGCUCACGUCUCAUACAUUUCAAAUAGGUACCUGUACCGCUCACAACAUGGUUAUACUUUUCUCAUUUAACUCAAACUGUAACACUCACCGUUGAACCAUUUGGAAAGCUAUCGAAUAUUCAUUAAGCCUUAAACAUAGCAUAUAAUGCUGAUGCCAUGUCCCAGACAUGGUCUUACACUGAGUAUCGAAAUCGACGCCGACGCCAUGUCCCAAACAUGGUCUUACACUAGCUCUCACAUAUCCGUGCCGAUGCCAUGUCCCAGACAUGGUCUUACACUGACACAUCUCGUAGCCGAUGCAUGUCCCAGACAUGUCUUACACUGGCUUACAUCUUGAGGCCGAUGAUGUCCCGGACAUGUCUUACACUACCUCUCGUCUCAAUGUCAAUGCCAUGUUCAGACAUGGUCUUACACUGGCUCUCAUAAUGUGGCCGAUGCAUGUCCCAGACAUGUCUUACACCAACACACAAAUAACCUGAAUGUCAUGGCAUGAAUAUCCGAUUUAUUUCUUAAGGUUCAAACAAGAGUUUUACUAUCUCAAUAUUCAACAUACAUAAUCAUUUCCACAAACAAGUAAUUUAUGCUAUAUCAAUUCAAACACAUAUAAUAACAAUGUAGUUGUAUUAUUUACAUACAACUUACCUCAGAUUACAAAAUGUAGACGACUAGUUCGGCUUAGUCCACUUGUUUUGCUUUUCCCCGGUCUAGGCCCAGAUUUUGUAAUUCUUGAUCUAAAAUGAUGAAAAUUCACACAUUUAAUCAUUUUAUUAAUCUAGGUACUCAAAAAUUUAAAAAUUAGGCAAAAUGACUAUUUUACCCCUAGACUUUUUCAAAAUGACCAUUUUACCCCUAGGUCCAAAAAUCGAUUUUUAUCGAACUUCUUCAUAUCUUAAGCCCAACCGAACCUUUUUUACUCUUAUAGCAACCCAAAAUUUCCAUUAUUUCUCACAUUUAUCAUCAAAUUUUAACUUAUGCAAAAUGGUCCCUAGUUAGGGUUUCCAUGAUAACUACUUCACAAAAGUUGUUUAUUACACCACCAUAACUCAUUUUCUUCCAUCAACUUUCAGAAAACAACAUGAACACACUCAUGGUAAAACCCUAGAAUUUCAACCAUUUUGCAAAAUAGUCCCCUCAUUUAGAAGCUCGUGCUACAAGGUUUCCAAAAAUACAAAAAAAAUAUCAAGAAAAGUCAUCAAAACCACAUACUUGUAAGGAGAUUAAGUGGCUAAAAUUUUUCAAGCUUCCAAAACCCUCCUAUUGCUGGUAUUUUUGGUCAAGAAGAAAGGAUGAAUGAAAAAGAUGAAGGCUAGGCUUUAGGGUAUUAUUUUAUCACACAUUAGGUCAUCAAAUACCUAAUACUUUGACAAUUUUAUUUUCCUUGUCUCAUGCCUAAGUUAUUCUUGCAUUACAAUUGUGAGGUAGCUAAUGAAUUGAUUAUUUAAAUGGAUUGAAAUUGUAAUUAAUUGACACACUACUUAAUCAGUGCAUGUUUAUUCUUCUAAAGUAGCUGAAAGUUAAAUUAGAAAUGUAUCUGGCGAUACACUUGCCUUGCAUAACUUGCAAGAUUAUUGUGAUUAAAUUGUUUCAAGGUAAGGAUACCUUGUUAACUCACGUAGUCUUUUAUAUGCUCUUUAGAUUUUAUUAAUCGUUUGAAUUGACAUAAGGAUAUGCAAGAGAUUAGUUCAAUUUAAUGAGUAUGUAUGUGCCAUAACAUGUUUGUUUAUUAAAAUCUGUUUAAUCGUUUGAAUUAACAUAGGUAUAUGUUAAGAGAUGAAUGAAUUUGUGUAGGUGAAUAUGUUCACAAGUUAGCAAAUUACCGAGUUGCCGUGAAUUUAUUCGUAACAACAUAAGCAUGAGCUUAAUAAUUCUAAGUUAAAGAAAUGUAAUUAAAUCAACACAAUUAUGUCAUCUUGAUUAAAUCAUAUUUUGAAAUCGUGCAUUUGAGAUUUAUUUCUUAAGUUUACUUAGUUUAAAAUCUUAGUUUUUAAUUACCCUCUCCAAACAAAAUAUUUUUCUUCACCAAAGUGUUUAAAUUGUGUUCAUAAAUAAUCCUUUUUACAGUCCCUGUGGGUACGAUAACUCGACAUGUACUUAUCGCUUUAUUACUUGUUGCGACUGUGUACACUUGCACAUUUCUGUCGUUCCAAGUUUUUAGCGUUGUUACCGGGGACUGUUUUAAAAGACAUUAUUUGCGAAAUUGUUAAUUUUGCAUUUUGGCCUUUUUUUCUGUUAAAUUUUAAUUCCUUUUUUUUGUUUCAGGUGUUUAUGAGUAUUGAUCAAAUUUUUGACUUACUUCCUAUAAACCUUGAAAUUGAAAGGACUUUUUGACAAAAGAGAAGACAAGCGAACCAAAAAAGGACCGAAGAUAUGAAUUUCGAAAAUCUAGGAGGAACAUUCGUUUUUAAUACUCACAAUCCGAUCAUUGUUGCCGAUGACAGAAACUGUGCCAUUCAACAAUAUGCCAUUCCUCUAUUCAAUGAGCUCAAUUCGAGUAUUAGGAGUGUAAUGGCCUAAAUUCAAAAUUAUCGGAACAGUGGUUUCGUAACCACAAAUCCGAUUUAAAGAGAAAUUUAUUUCAAUAUUUUUACAUGAAAAUUGAUAUGAUAGGAAAAUCGUAUGAAAAUAUUCAUAGAAAAAAUUUACCGAUUUAGUGAUUAGAUAGAAAAAGAAAUUAUUGAAGAAAUUGGGUAAAAACAAGGUAUCAAGACCUCUAUCUCGUAAAACCGAGUCAAAAAUAAUUUUAUAAAUAUUUAUGAAAUGUUAUUAAUAUGGUAUUAAAAUUUCAUUAGGAAAUUUUAAUGUUUGGGUAGUCAAUUAAAUGAAAAGGACUAAAUUGUAAUAGGUGUAAAAGUUGCUAGAAUGAUUAAAUAGCUUAAAAGUCUAAUGAGAAAGGGUUUAAAAGGAAUUAGACCCAAAAGUUAUUUGGGCUGGACGACAAGGGUAUGAAAUCAGCAGAAAAAUUGAUAAAUUAAGGGUAAAAUUGGAAUAUUGCAAAAUUAACUAAAUAAAGCUAGGACUAAAUAGGAAAUAUCUAGAUUUCUCUUCAUUUCUCUUCAAUUCCAGCAGCUAAAAAUGCCAUAGGAGGGUUCUCUACGCUGGUAUUUCAUAAUUUUUGCACCAAGUGAGUUAAUCCUUGCCUUUUUCUUGUAAUUUUUGUGUUUCUAAGACUUUUACAACUAGGUCCUACUAUUAAAUUCAUUAGUUUUUGAUUUCAUGGAUGAAAUUGAAAGUCACCAUGGUUGAGUGCUGUAAGUUUAUGAUGAAAUAGAACAAAAUUAAAGCUUUAAUUUGUUUAUGAGAUGAUUUUAUUAGGUAAUUUCAAUAGAAAUUGAUUUUUAGGACCUAAUUGUGAAAAUGCUUGGAAUUAAAGUCUAUUGCUGAAAUUCUGAUUCCUAAAGGUUGUAAACUAGUUUAAGGUGAUAGAAUAAAAUUUUAAUUGAGAAAAAUCAGCUCAAUUGAGAGGCUAAUUGAGUAGGGAUGAAAUUAUCAUUUAUUAAAAGCUUAGGGGAAAAAUGGUAAUAAACAGCUUGCACAAAAACAGUUUGGACAGCAGCAGUAGACUAACUUUGAAAAAUCACCAUAAAUUGUAGAAAUCGAAUUAGAAGAUGAAAAAAAUAUUGCAUUAAAUCUUAUUGAGUCUAGUUUCUCAUAGAAGAAAUAGUGUAAGCAAUGGAUUUGUAAAUUUUGAGAUAUAAUGAAUUUUGUGAGACAAGGUCAGAAUGAAUUAGGGUUCCCCAGUUCUGACUUUGAAAAAUCAUAAAAAUUUGAAGCAAAAGAAUUAUGGGCUUAAAUUUAUAUGUCUAGAAUCCUUAAUGAGUUUAUUUUUAAUAGAAACAAACUAGAACAUUAUUUUAAUUAUGUAUGAAGAGAUAAUUAAUUUUUAGUGAAGAAGGGUUAGAACUGUCGAUAGCAGAACAGGGGUGACUUUAAAGAAUAAACUGUACUUAUUAGCUAAACCAAAAAGUCUGAAAAUUUUAUGGUAAAAAUAUAUAUGAGUCUAGUUUCAGGAAAAAUUAACAGAUCUUAAUUUGGAGUUCCGUAGCUCAAGUUAUAAAUAAUUUAGUGACUAUGACUCAAGUAGACAGCUUUGAAUGAACUAUAAAUAAUAGUUGAAUUAUAGAGAACGUUGCAUAUGAACAUGAAAUGUAUUAAAUUGAUAAUUAAAUUUAUUUAUUUAAAUUCGGAAGAUUCAAAUAGGAGGCUAGAUUGAGGAAAGGAAAAAGUUCGGGAUUAGUAGAUUUUUAUUGUUUACAAACAAGUAUCAAGUUAAGUUCAUGUAACUUGAAUUAUAUUCUUAAAUGAUUGAGAUUGUAUGUUAUUUAUGUGAAAAUGAUUUGAAUGUUCAUUGUAUGAAAAUUUAUGAAACAUUGAUAUAUUUGAUAAAAUGGGAAGAAAUCCCAGUUGAAUGAAAGGAAAAUUCAAUGGAUCUCUGAAAAGGAAUUGACGGUUAAAAGGAUCUAGCCCGGACGGGUGAUCCUAUCUUGAUAUAGCCCUCCCGACGAAUAUGUGUAAAAUGGAUUUAGCCCGGACGGGUAAUCCGAAUUAGGGUCUAAAUUUAGCCUGGACUGGUAAUUCAGAUCCAAGCUCAUUAGAGUAAUUGUCGUUGCAGGGGAUUUAGCCUGGACUGGUAAUCCCGACAAUACUCUAUAAGUUUAUAUUGCGGGGGAUUUAGCCUGGACUGGUAAUCCCGCUGCAAGGUUGAGGUUCGCGGAGUGUGCUCUCUGAAAUGGAAAUGUGCACACAUGAAUAUGAAUUGACGGACCCGGAAUUGUACAAUAAAUGUGUACCUUUGAAAAUCCAUCGAAAUUCUGAUAAAUUCAACGGGAUAAAUACGAAAAAAUAAAAAGAAAAUGAAAAUCAUGGUAUUGACGAGCUCAUUAAUCAUGGUAUAUAUUAUUGAUACAUGGAAAUUAUUGUACUAACUUGAAUGUUGAGUUUGUGCAUGUUAGGGUAAUAAUGCAUUGAAUGGAUAUAUGAAUGUUUAUUAUAUUGUAUUGAAAAUAUUAGGUAAGUAUAAUUCUUGUUACAUGAGCUUACUAAGCACAAAGUGCUUACCCCGUUUCCUUUUUCCCUAUUUUGUAGUGUUAAGAGCUCGAAGGUCGGAUUUAGUCAGAGACACAUCCAUUGUCAACCUCAGGAUUUCGGUAUAUAAAGAAACUUUAUUUUGGAAAUCAAUGGCAUGUAUAAGCUAACAAAGUAAAUGUUAACGUGAAAUGAAUGUUAAGUUAGCCAUUAGUAUGGUUAACAAACCUGGUUUUAGAUAUGUGAUGACGUUAUGUUAUAAAUAUGCAUUAAUUUAUCUUGAAAAUAUGUUGAAUUGAUUUGGUUGAUGUGGAUUGGUCUCGAUUUAAUAUUGCAGGGAAGGUUAGAUAUUUAUAAAGGGGCUAUAUUGAAUAUAAAAAAAUUUAAUUCGUAAACUCCGGUAAUGCCUCGUACCCUAUUCCGGCAAUGAAUACGGGUAGGGGUAUUACAUUUAUUGGUAUUAGAGCUACGGUUUAGCCGGUUCUAGGACCGAUGUAGCAAAUACGGGAUUAGUUAUACAUGCUAUUUAAAUUAUUAUUGAUAGUGUGAUAUCUCCUGACCAUUUAAAAUGUGUUUUUCUUAUAGUAAUGACAUCCGACCGAGCUCAAUCUGAGGAAGCUGGGAGUCAUGCUCCGGCUUCAAUACAAAGAGAAGAAACUAGCAGUAGAAGGCCCGAGACAGAGGGUCGAGGGGAGGAGGCAAAAACAGCCUUCUUUCAAAUGAUGAAUGAAUGGUUUAAUCAAUAUUUAAGAACUAACCCUGGACUACAGCAAGUUCAAGCUCCCCCUCCUGCUCCUUCACCGGUUCUCGAGAUCCCACAGGGUGCAGGUACUGAAUCUGUCAAAAAAGGAAAAGCUCCAGUAGAUAAAAUUCGAAAAUAUGGGGCCGAAGAAUUUUGAGCAGCAGUUGAUGAUGAUUCUGAACGGGCUGAAUUCUGGUUAUAAAACACUACUUGGGUUCUGGAAGAAUUAUCUUGUACACCAGAAGAAUGUCUGAAAUGUGCCGUCUCACUGCUAAAAGACACAGCUUACCAUUGGUGGAAUACUAAAGCUUCAGUUGUUCCGAAAGAAGAAAUUACAUUGGAAUUCUUUCAGACCGAGUUCAGAAAAAAAUAUAUCAGCCAGAGGUUUCUCGAUCAGAAAAGAAAAAAAUUUCUUGAGUUGAAACAGGGUAACAGAUCAGUAUCUGAAUAUGAAAGAGAAUUUGUUCAAUUGAGUAAAUAUGCUCGAGAAUGGGUACAGUCAGAAGCUGAAAUGUGCAAACGAUUCGAAGAAGGGUUAAAUGAAGACAUUAAACUACUGAUCGGAAUUCUUGAAAUUUAGGAGUUUGCUACAUUGGUAGAGAGAGCUUAUAAAGCAGAAGAAUUGAGCAAAGAAAAGAAACAGGCUGAGAGGGAAGCUUGAAUUUUUAGUAAAAGACCGAUGGGAAAAUCCCAGUUUUCUACUUCAAAGAAAUUGAAGAAGUACCAGGAUCGUUCUACUUCAGCCAUUGGGUAUUCGGGCAGAGAGCGAGGUUCUCAACACACUAAUCCAAGACCUUCUACUCCAUCAGUGACCAGUGUUGGUAGUGUUGGCACUCCUAAGCCGAGAUGCCAGUACUGUAAUAAAGCUCAUUUUGGUGAAUGUCGAUUAAAGAGCGGGGCUUGUUAUCGAUGUGGUUCUUUUGACCAUUUCCUCAGAGAUUGUCCAGAAAGAGGUGAAAAUGAAGCUGAACAGAUAUCGAAGCCGAGUAAUCCAGUUUCGAGAGGUAGACCACCUCGACCAUCUGGUUAUGUCAGUGGUAGCUAAGGAGCUACGAAAGAUAUUGCAGGCAGGUCUGAAGCACGAGCACCUGCUAGGACAUAUUCCAUUCGUGCCAGAGAAGAUGCCUCAGCACUUGAUAUUAUUACUGGUACAUUUUCUUUACUUGAUACUGAUAUUACUGCAUUAAUUGAUCCUGGUUCUACGCAUUCAUAUAUAUGUGUUAAACUUUCAAUUGUUAAAAAUUUACCUGUUGAACCUACUGAAUUUGUGGUUAAAGUCUCGAACCCCCUAGGCCAGUCUGUGUUGGUGGAUAAAAUUUGUAAAAAUUGUCCACUGAUGGUAAGAGGUUAUUAUUUCCCGGCUGAUUUGAUGUUACUGCCAUUUGAUGAAUUUGACGUGAUAUUGGGCAUGGAUUGGUUAACCCAGCAUGAUGCGGUAGUAAAUUGUAGACAAAAAUAUAUUAUGCUAAAAUGUCAGAAUGGUGAGUUGCUCCGGGUUAAAUCUGAUCAGACAGAGGGGUUAUCUGAUGUGAUUUCAGUAAUGGCAGCACAAAGGUAUGUCAAAAAAAGGUAUGAUGCUUACUUGGCUUAUGUACUCGACACCAAGGUAUUUGAGUCAAAGAUACAGGCAGUUCCAGUGGUAUGUGAAUUUUUCGAUGUGUUUCCAGAGGAAUUACCAGGAUUGCCACCAGAAAGAGAAGUGAAAUUUUCUAUAGAUUUGAUUCCGGGAACUACUCCGAUCUCCAUAGCUCCAUAUCGUAUGGCUCUUACAGAAUUAAAGGAGUUAAAGACACAGUUGCAAGAACUUGUUGACAGGGGUUUUGUCCGACCGAGUCAUUCACCUUGGGGUGCUCCGAUUCUGUUUGUGAGAAAGAAAGAUGGGUCUUUGAGAUUGUGUAUCGACUACCGGCAGCUUAAUAAAGUAACCAUAAAGAAUAAGUACCCGUUACCCCGAAUUGAUGAUUUAUUUGAUCAACUGAAAGGUGCUACUGUGUUUUCAAAUAUUGAUCUUCGAUCGGGUUAUUUUCAGUUACGAGUAAAGGAGUCAGAUGUGCCAAAAACAGCCUUUAGAACUAGGUACGGGCAUUAUGAGGUUCUAGUUAUGCCGUUUGGGCUAACUAAUGCACCUGCAGUAUUCAUGGAUUUGAUGAACCGGAUAUUCAGAUCGUACUUAGACAGAUUUUUAGUAGUAUUCAUUGAUGAUAUUUUGGUUUAUUCUCGGGAUGAAGAAGAACAUGCAGAACAUUUGAGAAUUGUGUUGCAAAUUCUGCGAGAGAAGCAGUUAUAUGCUAAAUUCAGUAAGUGUGAAUUUUGGCUUUGAGAAGUGGGUUUUCUAGGACAUAUUGUAUCUGCCGAAGGCAUCAGGGUAGAUCCAAGUAAAAUCUCAGCUAUUGUCAAUUGGAGUCCACCGAAGAAUGUAUCUGAAGUUAGAAGUUUCUUGGGUUUAGCUGGUUAUUAUCGGAGAUUUGUACAGGGAUUCUCUAUGAUAGCUUCUCCAAUGACUCGAUUAUUGCAGAAAGAUGUAAAGUUCGAGUGGACUGAUGAAUGUCAACAAAGUUUCAACCGAUAGAAAGACCUAUUAACGAAAGCACCUGUAUUAGUGCAGCCUGAAUCCGGUAAGGAAUUUGUUAUUUAUAGUGAUGCCUCAUUAAAUGGUUUAGGUUGUGUUUUGAUGCAAGAAGGUAAAGUAAUAGCCUAUGCUUCAAGACAACUUAAACCACAUGAAAGAAAUUAACCAGUACAUGAUCUUAAAUUAGCUGCUAUUGUAUUUGCGCUGAAGAUAUGGCGGAAUUACUUGUACGGUGAGAAAUGUCAUAUUUAUAUUGAUCAUAAAAUCUUGAAAUAUUUGAUGACACAGAAAGAUCUGAAUUUGAGACAGCGCAGGUGGCUUGAACUGAUAAAGGACUAUGAUUUGAUUAUUGAUUACCAUCCGGGUAAGGCUAAUGUUGUAGCUGAUGCUUUGAGCCAGAAAUCUCUAUUUGCUUUACGAGCUAUGAAUACCCGGUUAUUAUUGACUGAUGAUGGUUCAAUCCUAGCAGAAUUAAGAGCUAAACCGACAUUUUUACAGCAAAUAUGUGAAGCUCAGAAGAAUAAUGAGAAGUUACAAGUUAAACGGGCACAGUGUGAGUCAUGUAAUGAUUCUGAAUUUCAGAUUGGUUCUGAUGGUUGUUUAUUAUUCAGAGGUAGGGUAUGUGUACCUCAGAAUUCAGAGCUCAUACAAAAGAUUCUAUGCGAGGCUCACAGCAGUACUAUGUCUGUACAUCCGGGGAGUAAUAAAAUGUAUAAUGAUCGGAAAAAGAUGUACUGGUGGUCGGGAAUGAAACGUGAUAUCUCUGAGUUUGUAUCAAGGUGUUUAAUAUGUCAGAAAGUUAAAGCUGAACAUCAGGUACCUUCGGGGUUACUUCAGCCAAUUACUAUACCGGAAUGGAAAUGGGAAAGAAUCACUAUGGAUUUUGUAUCGGGGUUACCUUUGUCUCCGAGGAAAAAAGAUGCUAUUUGGGUGAUUGUAGACCAAUUGACAAAGUCAGCUCACUUUAUUCCAGUACGUAUGGAUUAUUCUUUAGAUAAACUAGCUGAAUUGUACAUAUCUGAGAUUGUCAGACUACAUGGAGUGCCUGUCUCCAUUAUAUCAGAUAGAGAUCCCCGAUUUACGUCUCGUUUCUGGGACAAAUUGCAAGAAGCCUUGGGUACUCAGUUGUAUUUUAGUACUGCAUUUCAUCCUCAGACAGAUGGUCAAUUUGAGCGUGUAAUUCAAGUAUUGGAAGAUAUGCUCCGAUGUUGUAUACUAGAGUUUGAAGGUAAUUGGGAGAGGUAUCUACCUUUGAUUGAAUUUGCUUACAAUAACAGUUAUCAGUCCAUUAUUAAAAUGGCUCUUUAUGAAGCUUUGUAUGGUAGAAAAUGUAGAACACUGUUAUAUUGGACAGAGCUUAGUGAAAGGAAGAUACAUGGGAUUGAUUUGAUUCGGGAAACAGAAGAAAAAGUAAAGGUUAUUCGAGAUAGUCUAAAAGCAGCUUCCGAUCGUCAAAAAUCAUAUGCCGACCUUAAACGAAAAGAGAUUGAAUUUCAAGUCGGUGACAAGGUAUUCCUAAAAGUGUCUCCUUGGAAGAAAGUCCUUCGAUUUGGUUGAAAGGGUAAACUCAGUCCAAGAUUUAUCGGGCCAUAUGAAAUCAUAGAAAGAAUUGGACCGGUCGCUUAUCGAUUGGCAUUAUCACCGGAACUUGAUAGAAUCCAUAAUGUUUUUCAUGUAUCUAUGUUACGACGAUAUCGAUCAGAUCCUUCACAUGUUAUUUCUCCGACAGAAGUGGAGAUUCAACCGAAUAUGACUUACAGUGAAGAACUAGUCAAGAUAUUCGCACGAGAGACAAAAGAGCUUAGAAAUAAAAAGAUAAAUUUGGUGAAAGUAUUGUGGCAAAAGCACGGGAUUGAGGAAGCGACAUGGGAACCGGAGGAGGCAAUGAGGAAACAAUACCCAAAUCUCUUUACUGGUAAGAUUUUCGAGGACGAAAAUCCUUAAAGGGGGGAGAGUUGUAAUGGCCUAAAUUCAAAAUUAUCGGAACAGUAGAUUUGUAACCACAAAUCUAAUUUAAAGAGAAAUUUAUUUUAAUAUUUUUGCAUGAAAAUUGAUAUGAUAGGAAAAUCAUAUGAAAAUAUUAAUAGAAAAAUUUUACCGAUUUAGUGAUUAGAUAGAAAAAGAAAUUAUUGAAGAAUUUGGAUAAAAACAAGGUAUCAAGACCUCUAUCUCGUAAAACCGAGUCAAAAAUAAUUUUAUAAAUAUUUAUGAAAUGUUAUUAAUGUGGUAUUAAAAUUCCGUUAGGAAAUUUUAAUGUUUGGGUAGUCAAUUAAAUGAAAAGGACUAAAUUGUAAUAGGUGUAAAAGUUGCUAGAAUGAUUAAAUAGCUUAAAAGUCUAAUUAGAAAGGAUUUAAAAGGCAAUUAGACCCAAAAUUUAUUUGGGAUGGACGGCAAGGGUAUGAAAUCUGCAGAAAAAUUGAUAAAUUAAGGGUAAAAUUGGAAUAUUGCAAAAUUAACUAAAUAAAACUAGGACUAAAUAGGAAAUAUCUAGAUUUCUCUUCAUUUUUCUUCAAUUCCAGCAGCUAAAAACGCCAUAGAAGGGUUCUCUAAGCUGGUAUUUCAUAAAUUUUGCACCAAGUGAGUUAACCCUUGCCUUUUUCUUGUAAUUUUUGUGUUUCUAAGACUUUUACAACUAGGUCCUACUAUUAAAUUCAUUAGUUUUUGAUUUCAUGGAUGAAAUUGAAAGUCACCAUGGUUGAGUGCUGUAAGUUUAUGAUGAAACAGAAUGAAAUUAAAGCUUUAAUUUGUUUAUGAGAUGAUUUUAUUAGGUAAUUUCAAUAAAAAUUGAUUUUUAGGACCUAAUUGUGAAAAUGCUUGGAAUUAAAGUCUAUUGCUGAAAUUCUGAUUCCUAAAGGUUGUAAACUAGUUUAAGGUAAUAGAAUAAAAUUUUAAUUGAGAAAAAUCAGCUCAAUUGAGAGGCUAAUUGAGUAGGGACGAAAUUAUCAUUUAUUAAAAGCUUAGGGGAAAAAUGGUAAUAAACAGCUUGCACAAAAACAGUUUGGACAGCAGCAGUAGACUAACUUUGAAAAAUCACCAUAAAUUUUAGAAAUCGAAUUAGAAGAUAAAAAAAAUAUUGCAUUAAAUCUUAUUGAGCCUAGUUUCUCAUAGAAGAAAUAGUGUAAGCAAUGGAUUUGUAAAUUUUUAGAUAUAAUGAAUUUUGUGAAACAAGGUCAGAAUGAAUUAGGGUUCCCCUGUUCUGACUUUGAAAAAUCAUAACAAAUUGAAUAAAAACAAUUAUGGGCUUAAAUUUAUAUGUAUAGAAUCCUUAAUGAGUCUAUUUUUAAGAGAAACAAAUUAUAACAUUAUUUUAAUUCUUUAGGAACAGAUAAUUAGUUUUUAGUGAAGAAGGGUCAGAACUGUCGACAGCAGAACAGGGGUGACUUUAAAGAAUAAACUGUACUUAUUAGCUAAACCAAAAAUUCUGAAAAUUUUAUGGUAAAAAUAUAUAUGAGUCUAGUUUCAGAAAAAUUAACAGAUCUUAAUUUGGAGUUCCGUAGCUCAAGUUAUAAAUAAUUUAGUGACUAUGACUCAAGUAGACAGCUUUGAAUGAACAAUAAAUAAUAGUUGAAUUAUAGAGAAUGUUGCAUAUGAACAUGAAAUGUAUUAAAUUGAUAACUAAAUUUAUUUAUUUAGAUCCGGAAGAUUCAAAUAGGAAGCUAGAUCGAGGAAAGGAAAAAGUUCGGGAUUAGUAGAUUUUUAUUGUUUACAAACAAGUAUCAAGGUAAGUUCAUGUAACUUGAAUUAUAUUCUUAAAUGAUUGAGAUUGUAUGUUAUUUAUGUGAAAAUGAUUUGAAUGUUCAUUGUAUGAAAAUUUAUGAAACAUUGAUAUAUUGGAUAAAAUGGGAAGAAGUCCCAGUUGAAUGAAAGGAAAAUUCGAUGGAUCUCUGAAAAGGAAUUGACGGAUAAAAGGAUCUAGCCCGGACGGGUGAUCCUAUCUUGAUAUAGCCUUCCCGAAGAAUAUGUGUAAAAUGAAUUUAGCCCGGACGGGUAAUCCGAAUUAGGGUCUGAAUUUAGCCUGGACUGGUAAUUCAGAUCCAAGCUCAUUAGAGUAAUUGUCGUUGCAGGGGAUUUAGCCUGGACUGGUAAUCCCGACAAUACUCUAUAAGUUUAUAUUGCAGGGGAUUUAGCCUGGAUUGGUAAUCCCGCUGCAAGGUUGAGGUUCGCGGAGUGUGCUCUCUGAAAUGGAAAUGUGCACACAUGAAUAUGAAUUGACGGACCCGGAAUUGUACAAUAAAUGUGUACCUCUGAAAAUCCAUCGAAAUUCUGAUAAAUUCAACGGGAUAAAUACGGAAAAAUAACAAGAAAAUGGAAAUCAUGGUAUUGACGAGCUCAUUAAUCAUGGUAUAUAUUAUUGAUACAUGGAAAUUAUUGUACUAACUUGAAUGUUGAGUUUGUGCAUGUUAGGGUAAUAAUGCAUUGAAUGGAUAUAUGAAUGUUUAUUAUAUUGUAUUGAAAAUAUUAGGUAAGUAUAAUUCUUGUUACAUGAGCUUACUAAGCACAAAGUGCUUACCCCGUUUCCUUUUUCCCUAUUUUGUAGUGUUAAGAGCUCGGAGGUCGGAUUUAGUCGGAGACACAUCGCACUGUCAACCUCAGGAUUUCGGUAUAUAAAGAAACUUUAUUUUGGAAAUCAAUGGCAUGGAUAAGCUAACAAAGUAAAUGUUAACGUGAAAUGAAUGUAAAGCUAGCCAUUAGUAUGGUUAACAAACCUGGUUUUAGGUAUGUGAUGACGUUAUCUUAUAAAUAUGCAUGAAUUUAUCUUGAAAAUAUGUUGAAUUGAUUUGGUUGAUGUGGAUUGGUCUCGAUUUAAUAUUGCAGGGAAGGUUAGAUAUUUAUAAAGGGGCUAUAUUGAAUAUAAAAAAAAUUUAAUUCGUAAACUCCGGUAAUACCUCGUACCCUAUUCCGGCAAUGAAUAUGGGUAGGGGUAUUACAAGGAGACCCAAAAUCGAGGCACAACAAUUCAAGCUGAAGCCGAUCAUGUUCCAAAUGUUGCAAAAUAUGGGUCAAUUUAGUGGGGUUCCUAUUGAAGAUCCACAUCUUCAUCUUCGGCUAUUUAUGGAAGUGAAUGACUCAUUUAAAUUAGUCGGGGUGACCGAGGAUGCCUUGAGAUUGAGAUUAUUUUCAUACUCCUUAAGAGAUAGAGCACGAGCAUGGUUGAACUCCCUACCGUCUAGUUCCAUAACUACAUGGCAAGAGUUGGUUGAACAUUUCUUAAUGAAAUAUUUCUCUCUAUCUUUAACCGCCAAGAUCUGAAAUGAAAUCACAUCAUUUCAGCAACUUGAUGAGGAAUCUUUAUAUGACGCAUGGGAGCAGUUCAAGGAGUUACUACGAAAGUGCCUUCAUCAUGGCAUUCCUUGCUGCAUUUAAAUAGAGACUUUCUAUAUUGGUCUCAAUAUUCAUACUAGAAUGAUGGUAGAUGCUUCGACAAAUGGAGCCCUUCUUUCUAAGUCUUAUAAUGAUGCUUAUGAGAUUAUUGAAAGAAUUUCCAACAAUGACUAUCAGUGGCCAACCAACCGAGCAGCCUCAAAAAGAUGAGUAACAGGAGUACAUGAAGCGGACACACUUGCUUCUUUGGCAGCCCAGGUAUCCUCUAUGUCUUCUAUGCUUAAGAACAUAAUUGUUAAUGGUUUCAAUGGUAAUUUUCCAGGUUAGUAGCUGAAUCAGUUCAAGAAUAUUUCUUGUGAAUAUUGUGGAGAUGCCCAUUUCUUUGAAAAUUGCCCAUUGAAUCAAUAUUCAAAUUAUUACAUGGAAAUCAGAAUUGGAAUGGUCUGCAAUCAAAUUUUUACAACUCUUCAUGGCAGAAUCAUCCAAUUUCUGCAUGGAGUGAUCAAUGGGCGGACCAUACCGACUCUGUUAUGCCAUUUCGACCAAGUUCUUCGUCGGAAUAUUCUCAACAAGUGCAACAACCCUCACCAACUGAAUCUUCAAGUGAUCUUGAGAAUUUGCUGAAGGCAUACAUAGCGAAGAAUUAUACCACUUUAAGAAAUCUGAAGAAUCAAAUGGGUCAAUUAACCAAUGAACUUCAAAAUAAACCCCAAGGUAUUUGGCCAAGCGACACAGAAAAUCCAAAAAUUUUGGGCAAAGAACAUUGCAAAACAGUCUCUUUGCCAAGUGGAAAGACAUUGGAGCCCAAUGUGGAUAGAUUUGAUGGGAAAGAAUAUGACUACUUCCUAGAAGAUUAUGGUGGGUAUGACAAAUGACCAUUUGACACCACCAUGGUCAAUGACGAUCCUAAAUAAAAUGGAGGGAGUUCUCUUCACUUUCUCUAUCGUUAUUUUAUAUUUUUAGUUUUUUUUUCUCAUUUGAAUAAAAUGGUAGACUUAGAUAAAAUUUCAUUUAGUUCAUUACAUUAAUUAAAACUCUUUCUAGGAGAUUGGGUCUUAAGCGAGACCAUCCGUGACCCCUUCAGUCUUUCCUGGGAGUUUAAUUUAAUGUUAUUUUUCAAAAAAAAAUAUUUUUUAAGUAGCCCAAAGAAUUUAAGUAUUUUUUUUGUUAAAUAAAGGGUCAAAUUUUAACCCAAACACUAAUUUCUUUGAGUUUUUUUAUUUAUUUUCAGUAUAGGAGCUUAGGAUCCAAAAAGGAGCUGCCAUUGGGCUCAAGACAGUACUAAGAAGGGAAAUUUUCAACCCUUUUCCACACAAACCUAUAGCCCUUACCUUACUCCACCACCACUCCCAAGUAGCCCCAAAGUGCAUCUCACUUAACCCCUUAAUGUUGCAGCCCUUAACUCCUUAAAUCACCGCCCCAAACACCUUCAUUCGAAGUCACCAACUACCGCACCUAAACUAUCCUUAAAACUGCCACCCUCUUCAACUCUAAACUUUACCCUCAACUACUCACCUACCUGCCCAAAACUGAAACGACCCUUAACAAAUUUCCUAAGUUUGAUGGUGAAAGUCUCUUUAUUUAGCACCAUUCCACGAAGUGAACAGUUUGGUAUAAUGGCUAUGCUGCAACAAAUGUAGUUGCAGUAACAAGAUUACUGGAGAUACUCAAUAAUACGGGAUGACUUAAUCAAAUAUGCAUUUAAAAUAUAUAUUUCAUAACCCGUUUAUUUUUGUGCAUGAAUUUCUAGACUUUACACUUGAACCAUGGACUCCAAUGUCGAGGAAGGAAAAAGAUGAGUCAGAUUCUGAGGGAUAUUCAAAUAAAUAAAAAUGGGGAUCUUUACUUUAUUUCAUUUUCUUUCCUAGGUUAUUUAAUGUUUUAGGAUUGGGUUCUAUUAUGAUUUUUAUUUUUCGCAUAAUAAAACAAGAUGUGGAAAUCAUAAAUAAAAAUGAACAAGUUGCAACGUACAAAGUGUGGCAAUAGAUAUAUACAUGUCUAGGAAUGGAUUUAGAGAGAGCUUGGUACUUAAGCAGUCAAAUUGACUCACCUCCUCUUUUCUAGACUACUACCUGGUGUAUAGUAUCUAUUCACUUUUAAUAAUGAGGGCAUUGUUCGUCUUAAGUAGGGGGACCGAAAAAUUGAAAUUAUUUCCAUUCAGAAUAAAAUUUUCUUUCAAUUAUGAUUAGGUUAUAUUUUGUUCAAUAAUUUGAAAUGUUGUUAAGUAAGCUAAACUUCAGUAAAUAAAGUUCAAUUAUUUCAAUAAUUGUUAUGUUAGCUUAAUAAUGACAUAAAUGUAUUUUUAAUAAAGCAUGCAAAUCAUACCAUAAAAUUUUAGUUCCUUAGGAAAGUUAGGCAUGCAUGAAAGUUUAAGUCUUUAGAAUUGACUUAGAAGUUUCUUGAGGCAAAAUCCUAGGAAGCAUGGAGCGUUGAAAAUGAUUUAGGCAACUAUUGUUUGGACUGUUUGAGCCUUUCAAGCUAACCAUGAUGAAAUUUUUAUCCUUUGAAACCUAGCUUUGAGACUAUAUGGCCUAAUUUUAUUUGAACCCUUGCAAAUUUAACUAUCACUUCUCUCUUAACUAUCUUAAAAUUGUCCCAAAUACUAGACUCAUUACUAUUCAAAGUAUUCUUUGAAAAUAAGUUUGGGGGAGUUGAAAAGAAGUAUCAAAUGCUCUAAAAAAUUAUAGUACAUACAGUAAAAUGUUCGAAUUAAAAAAAAAGAAAGGAAGAGCAUGAGUUCUUAAAAUAAGAUGUACAAAAGAGCAUGUGAAAGCAAAGAAAGUUGAUGUAUUGAAGGUAAUUAUUUCGAAGGUCCGAUGCAAGUUGAGUCUAGGGUUUUUAGCCUAAAUUUAUCUAUCUUUUACCUACCCCUAAGCCCAACCACGUUACAACCUUGUUAAAGACCUAUUGAUGCAAGUUCCAAUGCUACGUACAUUAGUGGAGAGAAAUUGAUACGUGCAACAUAUGAAGACAUAAGUUAAACUUAAUGAUUGCAGCUUAAUCUUGAAUAAGGGAAUAAAAUUAAAUUGGUAAGGGUUAACAUGACUUUAUUAGGAAACAUUUAGUCUAAUUUUUUGCCUUUCAUAAGAAUGAUUGAGAUUAAUUUGAAUGGUAUGUAUACUUAGAUAGCAUAAAUAUCGAAUUUCUUGUUCUUGAGCAUAAGUAUACCAAAUUCAUGAUUGUUGGGAAGAAUGUCAUUUUGAAGGACUUUUUCAAAGGUGUCUUCAAAAAAUUCUUUUCAAAUUUGUGCAUUACUCGAGACAACCAAUGAAUUAAGUUUGGGGUGUGGAAACCCGAAAAUUUACACAAAUUUUCAUGCCCUUUUUAACUUAAAUUCAUGUAGUUUCGAUAAAAUUCUUGUCGGAAAAUAAUUAAUUCUUAUAAAAUAAUUAAAGUGUACUUAAAAUAUGAACAUGUUGAAUUUUAAUUAAUUUUAUAAUUAAUUUUGAUGAAUUUUGGUUAUUUUCGACAGAUUUGCACAAAUGGCGAAAAAUGGCUCGACAGACAUUGACAGAAACACAAAACCGAGAAGCAAAUUGAAGUAUCGCGACUUAAUUUUCAACCUAAGAUGGUCCAAAAUUAUGUGUAUUAAUUCAUAAUAUAAUUAAUUUUAAUUUAUAUCCAAUUAAUUUGGGUUAAUAAAUUAUUAUUAAUAAAUUAUGAAAAGUGGUCUAGUUGAGCCGAACUGAGUGAACCGAACCGACCAAGUAAUGGACAGCCCAAACCUGCCCCAUGUGCUGACCCAAAUCAGCUUAUUGGCUGAUUAUUUAGCUUGCAAAGAGGCCCUUGAAGACUUGUUCAAAUAGAAUUCAAAUCCCUCCACAAAUGGUGGCUUUUCUAGAUUUGCCCCAAGCUUAAUUUAGCAAGUUUGAAAUCAUCAAACUUGUCACAUGUGUGGCCAGCCAAGGGAGGGUACUUUGGCUGCUAAUUUUAGCUAUUUUUAUCAGCCCUCUUCAGCUAUAAAACCCCCCUUAAGCUUAUCAUUUGAAACACACCUCAAUUCAUUCACAUCUCUUCUCUCUUUUCUCACUUUCUUCUCUCAUUUUUCCAUUUCAAGUCCCUUGCUCCUGUGUCGAUUUCUCCCCUUGGAAAAGGGUUCUUCUUCAGCCAUUUUGGAGCAGCAAUUGAGUUUUCAUAGAAGCCUUGAUCGGCGAGGACAACAAAGAAUGAAGAACGGAGCAACCUUGUCAAGCAGCGGAAAAAUAUUGGAUUUGAUUCUUGUUCCCUAUCUCUUUAAUUUUUGUUAUUGUUAUGAUGAACACAUCUAAGAAUAUUUAUAUUGUUGGAAUGGUUAAUUUAAUCAGUUUACCUUGAAUUUAAUUCGUGUUGGUUUGAUUGCAUUUCAUCUGCUUAAAUUAUUAAAAUUAUGUCUAUGUUUUUAUAAGCCUUGGUAAAAUGCUUGAUUAAGUAAAAUCAUGCCUAAGUUAUUCUUGCAUUACAAUUGUGAGGUAGCUAAUGAAUGAAUUAUUUUAACGGAUUGAAAUUAUAAUUAAUUGACACAAUUCUUAAUCAGUGCAUGUUUACUCUUCUAAGGUAGCUGAAGGUUAAAUUAGCAAUGCAUGUGGCGAUACACUUGCCUUGCAUAACUUGCGAGAUUAUUGUGAUUAAACUGUUUCAAGGUAAGGAUACCUUGUUACCUCACGUAGUCUUUUAUAUGCUCUUUAGAUCUUAUUAAUCGUUUGAAUUGACAUAGGGAUAUGCAAGAGACUAGUUCAAUUUAAUGAGUAUGUAUAUGCCAUAACAUGUUUGCUUAUUAAAACUGUUUAAUUAUUUGAAUUAACAUAGGGAUAUGUUAAGAGAUGAAUGGAUUUGUGUAGCUGAAUAUGUUCAUAAGUUAGCAAACUACCGAGUUACCGUGAAUUUAUUCGUAACAACAUAAGCAUGAGCUUAAUAAUUCUAAGUUAAAGAAAUGUAAUUAAAUCAAUACAAUUAUGUCAUCUUGAUUAAAUCAUGUUUUGAAAUCGUGAAUUUGAGAUUUAUUUCUUAAGUUUACUUAGUUUAAAAUCUUAGUUUUUAAUUACCCUCUCAAAACAAAAUAUUUUUCUUCACCAAAGUAUUUUAAAUUGCAUUCAUAAAUAAUCCUUUUUACAGCCCCUGUGAGUACGAUAACUCGACAUUUACUUAUCACUUUAUUACUUGUUGCGAUUGUGUACACUUACACAUUUCUGUCGUUCCAGAUACAUGCAGGGUUCACACACCCGUGUGAACAGGCCGUGUGUCUCACACGACCACCAGACACGCCCAUGUCAUAGGCCAUGUGAAAAUAGGGCAUACAUACUGACUUGCACCACACGGCCAAGGACACGCCCGUGUGCCAUGGCCAUGGGAAAACUAGAGGGGUUACUGACUUGGGUCACACAGCCGGCCACACGCCCAUGUGCCAGCCCGUGUCCCACACACGGCUAAUAGACACGCCCGUGUGUAUAGACCGUGUCAAACCUGUAGGGUAUACUGACUUAAUAUUGAAAGGUACCCCAGGGGACACACGACCGUAUAGCAUGACGUGUGUCAUACACAACUGAGACACACGCCCGUGUCUCUGCCUGUGUGGACAAAAAUAGGCUAUUUGCAAAGCCAAUUUGCCACCCUUUCCUCAUGUACACCUAGCAAUCAAAAUGGUACUAUUUCAAUACAUUUAUAAGUAGCCAAAACAUGCCAAUUCAUAUACAAUUCAUGCCAUUUAUAAACCAUCCUCUUAACUACUCAAAUUCAUAGCCAAAACAUACCAAAUCAAUAUGCCAAAAUCAUCAAACUAACAUAACUUAUAAAUGCAUUUCCUCAUCAUCUUAUCGUCCAUUUCAUGCUUCAAAACAUACCAUUUCAUCAUCUCAAAAUCAAGCCAAUUCACAACAUGCCAUUUUCCAAACAAUAAUACACCAAUUGACAAUUUUCUAAUUGAGCAACCAUAUAACCACCACAACAACCAUACCAAAUAUACCAAAACACAAGGCAAUAUAUACAUCACAUAUCACUUACCAAACUCAUACAUCUAGCCAACUAAAAUGGCCAAAAUACAGACCAACACUUACAUCAAAAACAAGUCAAAUCUCAUGGCUAUAUCAUAUCUCAAAACAUAUCAUCAACUCACUAGCCAAUACAUGCCAUAUACCAUAUUUACGAAGUAUCCAAAAAUACCAACAAGUUGAUCAAUAGUGUAAUGACGUUUCACGACAAUCCCCGAGUCCGAGCUAGCUUCGAUUAUCUAUAAAACAAGGAAAAAACACACAAAGUAAGCUUCAAAAGCUUAGUAAGCCAUAUACAAAUAAAUUAUCACAUGAAUCAAUAUUAUUUCCAUUAAUAGGCAACUAUGAGUAAACAUUUAUAAGAUCACAAACCUUUUUCAUUGUACACAUAUUCAAAUACUUCCCUUUCAUUACUUGUAUGAAUCUCAUACGUACUUGAGCCAUUUAACUCAUUCACACAUUCUUUCUUGACUUGACUUUGUCGGUUGAACCAUUCAGAAUCGUUAAGGAUACUCGAAAAUCAAAUAAAGCUUGUACAAUGCCAUAUCCCAGAUAUAGCCUUACAUGUUAUCACAUAUCGAUGCCACUAUCCCAGACAGGGUCUUACACGAAAUUGAAUAAUGAUACCAAUGUCCCUGACAUGGUAUUACACGUAAUCACAAUACAAUGCCAAUGUCCCAGACAUGAUCUUACAUGUAAUCACAUCUCGGUAACCUAAUGUCAUGACAUUUGUAUCCUAUACUAUUCCUAAGGUUCGUACGGGACUUUCGGAUGUCGUAACUCUGUCAAUUCUCGCUUGUAUUUCCUCGUUCAAAAUUCAUAGAAAUUCAAUGACAAUUAAACAUGUAUAAUUCAAUUAAAAGACAUUUAUUUGCAUAUGAACUUACCCUCGUAUUAGGGAUAAACGGACGGGAUUGACUAUUCAACAACUUUCGAUUUCCCCCGAUCUAAAUCCGAUUUCUUUCUUUCAGGAUCUAUAUGAAUUCAAAAUUAACUUAUUUAUUCAUUGAUUCAAUCAAUUCAGUCCAAAGACACAUAUUUAAGUCAAUUUGCACUUUGGCCCUAAACUUUCACAUUUAUUACAAUUUAGUCCUUAUUUCAAUAAACACAAAUUACACCAAUUCAAUUGAAACCAUGUGUGCCAAAUUACUAUAGUACCCCUAGCAGCGCAUAUUUCACAUUUAUUCACACUUUUAACCCCACAUUUUUAUCUUUUCACAAUUUAAUCCCUAAUAUGCAUUUUUACUCAAAAUCACUUUACAAAAACAUAGAUAUCCAUCACUAAACUUUCAUAAUUCAUCAUCAAACAUUCAAAAACACAUGAAUUCAUCAAUGGAAACUUUCAAAACAUUAAUUAGUUUUGCAAAUUAGUCCCUGGGCUAGCUAGUACUCGAUACAACGAUCACAAGAACAUAGAAAUCAUCAAAAAUCGAGCUCAAAACAUACCUCAAUCAAGCUAUGCAAGUGCCGAAUGAAAACUUAAUCUUUUAGCUCUCUUCUUUUCUAAUUUUCGAUUGAAACAAAUAAAUAUGAACAUGUUUUUAUCUUUUGUUUUAUUUAAUAUACCUUGUUUUAUUUAAUUACUAAAUUAACCUUGAUUAAAAACAUUAAUAAACAUCCAAUACAUGCCCAAUUAUGUCCAUUCCCACUAUCCAUGGUCUAAUAUCAUUAUAAGGACCUUUCAUUUAAUGACUCAUAGCAUUUAAACACUUUUAACUUAUAGCAUGCUACUUUUGCAUUUUAUUUGAUUUAGUCAUUUCAUCAAAUUAAGCACUCAAACGCUAAAAUUAUUUCACAAAAUUUUCACACAUACAUAUUCACAUGCUAUAAACGCAAAAAAUAAUAUUAAAAUAAUUUUUUGACCUCUGAUUUAUGGUUUCAAAACUAUUUUUCUGAUUUAGUUAAAACCAAGCUGUUACAGAGUGGACUUCAUUGAAACCUUUGCCUCCGUUGCGAGGUUAGACACCAUAAGGCUGCUACUGACUCUUGCUGCUCAAAAAAGUUGGAGAAUACAUCAGAUGGAUGUAAAAUUAGCCUUCUUAAAUGGUUUUCUGAAAGAAGAAAUUUAUGUUGAGCAACUAUAAGGAUUUGCAAUACCUGGGUGUAAAGCCAAGGUGUACAAAUUGAACAACGCACUGUAUGGCUUGAAGCAAGCACCAAGAGCAUGGUAUGAAAGAAUUGACAAUCAUAUGAAAGAAAUGGGUUUUGAAAGAAGUAUCAGCGAGCCCACUUUAUAUGUGAAAAAAUUUGGUAAUGAAAUAUUUCUCAUUAUUUCAGUAUAUGUUGAUGAUUUACUUGUGAUUGGAAGCAACAACAAACUGGUAAUUGUAUUCAAGGAUUAGAUGCAAGACAAGUUUGAAAUGUCAGACUUAGGUGAAAUGACAGACUUCUUUAGUUUAGAGGUGAAUCAAGUUAAUGGUGCAAUCUUCAUAAACUAGAAAAGGUUUGUGAUGAAGAUCCUGUGAAGAUAUAGCAUGGAAAAUUGUAAACCUACGAGCACCCAUGCUAAGAAGGUUGUUGAAACAAGAUACAGAAGCUUGGUGGGAUGUCUACUUUACUUGAGAGCAUCCAGACCUGACAUAAUAUUUGUUGUAAGUAUGUUGUCAAGCUUCAUCCAUUAUUGCAUUGUGAACUACUACUAGCAAAAAGGGUUCUACGAUACAUAAGAGGAACUCUAAGCCAUGGAGUGAAGUUUGUAAAGGCUAAAAAGGUCAAGUUUCUUGGGUAUCUAAACACUGGUUGGGCUGGAUCUACUGAAGACAUGAAGAGUACCUCAGGUUAUUUCUUUACUCUAGGAUCGAGUGUAUUCUGUUAGAGGUCGAUGAACAAGAAACAGCGGCAUAGUCAACUACUGAAGUUUAGUAUGUUGCAACUGCAGCAUCUGUAAAUUAAGCCAUCUGGUUAAGGAAACUGCUGAAUGAUUUGAAUUUAAAAUAAGAAGAAGCAACAGAGAUUAAGUGUGAUAAUCAAUCUGCUGUUGCAAUUGUAAAAAAUCCAAUGUUCCAUGGAAGAACAAAAUAGUUCAAAAUCAAGUAUCACUUUGUGAGAGAAGUGGAGCAAUCCAAGGAAGUCACAUUGGUUCAUUGCAGUUUUCAAGAUCAGUUGGCUGAUAUUCUAACAAAACCUCUUGGGAAAUUGUGGUUUGAAAAGUUGCAUUAUGAUAUUGGGGAUCGCAACAUGGAGGCCAAGAAGGAGUGUUUCAAAAUGACCAUCCAUGCAAGGGCGAACCUAGAACACAAGUUUGCGAGCUCAAUGUGUGAGCUCGACAAAAUUGCGAGCUCAUCAAUAGUGCGAGCUCUUUACCUUGCAAGUUGCCAACUUGCCAACUUGCACUAAAACAAUGAUAAUUUUUAUUAGGCGUUUUGGUUGUUGAUUAGACUGAAAUCAGCCAAUAAGGAAGCAAGUUAACUAAAUCUAGUUGCAAGUCUAAGCUAAGUUGUAAUUAUUUUAUUAUUAUUUUUAGCUUUUUUAAGCUCUCUUGUUCCUGUAAAUAGAGCAAUCAAUUUUUUAAUGAAAUAGUUGAUCACAAGCUUAUCUUUUCUCCACUUUUAAUCCUUUUUUGCCUUUGUUUUAAUCUUUCCUUCAUCAAAUUUCCAAUAGUCUCACUCUUUUAAGUCUAUGAAUGUUGGCCCUUACAACAAGCUAGCAAAACGCAAUUCUUGGCGUUGAUUUCUCGAGAGUCGGUAGGGGCUCCUAUGGUUAUGUUAGUGCCUGCCCUGACCAUAGAAAAGAUAAGAAUGCCUAUUUUCAUUGCACUUACUAAAAUUAUUGAAACUCCACAACUAGACAAGGUUGUGGCUGAUGUUUUCAACAAGAUGUAUUCGGAUGAUGGGAAGAUGGUUAAAGAAGAUGAGUUCAAGAAACUGUUGACAGCGAUCUUAUGGACCAUCAUGCUGCAGUUAGGGGACAAUCCCAUCUCAGUUUCUUCAAACUGUGUACUACAUGAGCCCCUUGAAUCUUCCUCUUCGCUUUUGCAGCCAUGAUCCUGAUUUCCUAAUACGCGUAUCUCAUAUUUACUACAAACACAAUAAAAUGGACAAUCCAUUUUGGUAUAAUGAAGAAAUUUACGACUAGCUUAUGUUCUUUCUGUGCAAUUCAGUAAAACAUGCAAAUAUGUAAUUCAAUUUGGGACGAAUUUUUCUACAAAGAAAGUCGUCAUCAUCAAUCAACAACAAUGAUUAAAUUCUUAUUAGUUUGUAUACAAAUUUAAAAUACAAAAGAGCCAUAUGCCGUAUUAUUAUUACGUUUUGGAGGUAAUAUAUAUAUUUCAGGAUAAGAUAUGCGAAAUAACAUAUUUUUCCAACAACAACAAUUCACAAUUACAACCAAGUAAUUAUGUUGUUCAUUUUCUUAGUAACUGUGAGUAUGCUCACGUGGAAUCAUUUUAACAUACAGAGCGAAAGCCACGCACCCAAUAGUCGGUCCAAUCCAAAAUAUCCAGUGUCCAUUCCAAAGGUGGCCUCCUCUUACGACUGCUGGACCGAAGCAUCUUGCUGGGUUCAGCCCAGCACCACCAUAGCCUUUUGUGGCAGUAACUGUGGUUGAAAUGAACACUAGAAGACCCAAUACUACUCCUAAGAUAAUGCAGAUUAUUACUCGUCCCACGGCCUUUGCUUGGCGACGAUCAAAAGCCAUCCAUACUGAAGCGAAAAGGAACACAAAGGAACAGAUUAUCUCAAGCCAAAGGGCCUGGCUGUUCCCCAUGCCAAUCACAGUUGGUCCAUCGGUACCUGGUACGACAAUAGUCACGGUGCAUCCUGCUAGCGAAUACGUUCGUUCAAUGGCGCUAUUAACCACAGCUUUGAGUGCUAGUGAACCUAGUAUGCCACCGACACAUUGGGCCAAAAUGUAUAUGGCAGCUUUGGAAAUGGAAAUCAGGCCGGUAAGUAAAGCAGCAAAGGUAACAAUCGGAUUGAUAUGGCCUCCGGAGAUGGGGUAGGUAGCAAGCAGGAGAACUGCAACGACAAAGGCGAUUAGGACCGACAUUACAAGGUUGGGUGUCUUUGUUUCGGUCUGCAAUGUGGAGAUAACUAUGGUGUCCAAUGCAAAAACCAGCACUGCUGUCCCAAGAAGCUCUGCCAAUGAAGCUCUCCAUACCUAUAAUCCAACACCAGUUUGCUUGUUAGCAAUGCAAGCGAAGCAACUUCACAAAAAUAUCUAGCAAUCUCUGAGUUAAUGGCUAUGGGUGGCUUCACCUUGAGAAAAUUUUUCUAAGUCCCUCCCAAAAUUAAAUAAAAAAUUGUAUUUUUUAUUCUUUUAAAAAGAUCAAAAAUUUAACUUAAGCCAUUUUUUAACCACCAAAAUUUUAGAAUUUUAUCUCGAUGACACUAAAUAAAAUUCCUCUCACACUAACCUCCAAGGACAACAGCUGUUCAAGGCCUAACACCUUAGUAGACAAAAACACUUUUGCAUCAGAUUCCUCCUUAAUUUGCCCCGGCCUGCAAAAAUGAAAGAAAGGUUAGCUUGACAUAAACAUAAUUUAGUCCUCAAAAUGAAGCAAACCAAACUUGUUACAUAAUUACGUUGGAGUAGAGGCUACAGGCAGGACUCUAUUAUGAGUAAAGUUGUUUUCUUCAUCUUCAACAAUUCCAUUUCGGGCCAUCUUCUUAUUUAGCUCUUCUGGCUGCUCAAACCCUCUUUAAGUUAAAUAUAUCCCUUUGCUACAUUAGACAUACCUCCUGUUACCUAUAUAUAUAGCCAGAGAUUCGAGAUUCAUCAAUUCGUGCUGGCACCAAUUUAAAGUAUAUUGGCUGCAAUAGUAUAUAUCUUUAAUAAUCUUCAUAUUAGUCACAAAGUUCAUUCAUCCCUUUACAGAGUAUAUUUUGAAAUAUACUCCAUAUAAAAAUAUAUAUAUUUAGAAUUAAUUAAUAAUUUAUGCUUGUGAAUUAUAGUGUUCUGGGUUGGCAUUUAUAUAACUUAAGAUUGGUGCAAAUCGUGCGUAUUGAUUUUGAAUGGAGUUUGAGGAUUGAAAUGGGAGAAGAACAAGCAGGGGCCUUCUUCGAGAAGGUUUACGAUGCAUGUAAUAAUUGUUAAUUUAUGUUUUUAUGGAACUGCUAGCUUAGCUGCCCCUUAGGGUUUGACUUUUAACGCAAAACGAAUCCCUUCAAUAUUGUUAGUUGAUAUUUGCAUGCAUUGUAGUGUCAUUACAGAUCAUCCGUCGGUUUCAUCGUAUCCCGCGGUUAUGGGAUCCUGUUAGUCUCACAUUAACCAAUGAGAAAAAAAUAUCUUUACCUUUUUAAUAUUUAGCACAUUUAUCUGUUUCACAUUAAAUAAAUAUUUUUUUCUAAAUUAUGGUCUAAGAAUUAUUAUUUGAAGAUAUUUUACCUCAUCCAAAGAUUGUUUAUAGAUUUUCUGACUUUGGGAAUGAUCAUUUUGAUUGAUAUUGAAACAACAGUGAAUAGACUUGAUACAUCACUGACAAAAUUUAAAAAUAUGAUAGAUCAAUUAUUAUUCGGAUUACAUUUUAAAAAAUUGUAUAAUAUAAAAUAAAAAAAUUAAAAUGAAAAAAAAUCUACAGUCUAGAAACUAAAUACAUAUAAAAAAUAAAAAUGUCAUUUAUUUUAAAUUAUUUUCUAUUUCAUAUUAUGCAUCUUUUAAAAGUAAAAAUCAUAUAGCAUUGAAUCUUUAGUAAUAAAAAAUGUGUAAAUUUUAAAAAAAAUUAUUUUAAUUACUUAUAUUAUUUUUAAAAAAUAUUUAAUUUUUAAGAUAAUCCUAAUAUAAAUUAUUUUCAUAAACUUAAAUAUUUUUAAGUGAACAAGCUUUAGUUUAUUGAUUAAAGGCAAAUAUUUAAAAUCUAAUUUGAGUGCAACAUUUAUUUCAAAAAAAAAAAAAGAAAAUUGAGUGCAACAUUCUCCCCAUGUGCAUUUACCAUAGGUUAUCGCCUAUUCAUUUCAUUUUUCAUUGGGGAGUUUCAGAUAUUUAUAGGCUUUUUAUGUGGUUCCCUUAAGCCAAAUGUCUUACAAAUGGAAGUUAAUAAUUGAGUAAUGGUCUUGAUAUUUUAAUGAGAUGUUUGUAUUAUAUUUAUAUAUUAUAUAAUAUAUAUAAUUUUUUAAAGUUGAAAAUUUAAGGUCGCGCAAUGAAUUAUCAGUGCCAUAACUCCAGGCCUUUCUUCUAGAGCUACUUUUAUUAGUUUACCCCCAAUAUCUAAGCCAACGUCAGGUUUCCAUACACCAAGGUCACACGCUGCUUUUGACCAACCUCCAAUGGUGGGUGAAGCUUGGGAUGCCUUGAGAAUGAUCAUUGGUGUAUUUUCUUGAUCAACCAGUUGGGACUAUUGCAGCCUUGGAUAGUGUCCAAGAAAAUUAAAAUUAUUAUUUUUACGAAAAACUCAUUUUAAAAUUAGAUUUUACAUAUUUUAAUGAUCAAUUAAACAUGAUUUAACUACGAUUAAUUAACAUACAUAUACAUACACCUUCAAUUGAGUUUAUUGACAUCGAUCAAGCCUCAAUUAUAUAGAACUAGACAAUCAAUUUCAUGCAUAUCAAACACUGAAUAAAUCAAACAAGUGGUGUACCUUAGCCGCUAGUAAACCACUCCAUGGAAGCUUCAUUCAAACAAUCGUUAGUACAAAUUUCAUGCCUCACACAUCGUGUUAUCAAUCACCGUGUUAUCAAGCAACAAUACACCGUAAAUCAUUCAAUAAUUAAACUCAAACAUGCCUAAAAAUUAUUAUAAAACUAUCCAAAAUAAAAUGUCUAAUGUCCAAAAUCCAAUUACAACCAAAAUUAAACUAAUUCCCGGGAGUUCCACAAUGCCCGAUUACAGUCUCUAAAACGUGUAAUAAAGUAUCUACCAAGUCUAAAACUCUCGGAACUCUCUUGCUCAGCUCCUUAACUCCUCAAACCCGAUGAUUAUCUGCACAAAUUGUGAGGGUGUGAGCUUUAAAACUCUCAAUGAAUGUUAAUAAAAAUGACUAGUAAAUCAACAUCCAAACCAUGCUUAAAUUUCAUCCAAUCAAUCGCCAAUUAUCAGCCAUAAUAAUGAAACAUGUCAAUUUAAUUUCUAUAUGCUUUAUCAAUAUCAAGAAUCAAUUAUUCAUGGUUUACAAACAUCGAAUGAUAUAACAGUAAUCACACAUAAAUACAUUGGCAUACACUUCUUAUGGCUUAAUCAGGUGAUUAUACAUUGAAUAAACGGAUUUCCAAACUCCAACAAAUAUCAAAUACAGUCCCCCAAGUUGAGCGGGCUGAAGCACAUGCUCGCUUAUAGCGCCUCAAAUAACCCAAUGAGUGGAGACUCAUGCUCAACACUCCCUUAUCUACUCCAAACAAAUAAAUCCACCUAGAGUCAUAUGCUCACAAUGUCACAAAUAAAUAUGAGUACUUACAAAUCCUAUGACAUGCUAACUAUAUCCAAUGGAUCCACCAUACAUGUUUCUAAUAUAUUCAGUCAAACAAAACAUAUAAAUCAGUCAUUAUUGUGCUCAAUUUAAUGUGUCAAAAUGUUUAUGUGUAACAUGUAACAUAGUCAUUUAACAUCCAAUUAAAUCAAGCAUUUCAUUUGCCAUGUUCAAAAGUUCAAUUACCAAUUGUAACACUAAUACAUGAUAAUAAAAAAACUCCAAUCACUAUGCUCUAAUCAUCAAUAUAAUUAGCCCAAUUAUAUUAUACAAAAUCACCUAAAUACUUACCAUUAUUCAAUAAAAAUUUAACUCUUGUACAUAUAAUAUCAAUCUUGCAAAAAAUAAGUCAUUCAACUAUAAUUAAACAAUUGAAGUCAUCAAUUAAACUACUUCUCAAAAAUAAAUAAAGGUCAAUUUACCAAAUCGCCCUUAGAAACUAUAACAACUCGUUUUCAGUAAUAUAAAAAAUAGUGGUUUCAGGACCACAAUUCCAACGAGUAAAUUAUCAUUUUAUUAUUAUUUUAACGUAUAUAUAUUAAGAUAAAAUUUUGUUAAGAAAUUUUGAUGUUUAAGUAGUUAAUUAAGUGAAAAGGAAUAAAUCGUGAAAGGUGAAAAAGUUGAGUUCUAUGAGUUAAAAGGGUCAAAUGGCUAUGAAACUUUAAACCAAAAGGACUUUAAGGGUAAAUAAACCAUUUAAUAAAUUAGUGGAUGUGCAUGGCAUGGUUUAUUGAAAUUUUGUUAGUUUUUAAAGGUUAAUUUGGUAAUUAAGUAAAUUAAUUUAAAACAAAAAGGAAUCAAAAGAUGGUAUCAAUGAUAGCACUAGAAAGAACAUAGGUUUUCCCCCUUACUUAUUGGUUAAAUUGUUCCUAUUUAGUUAUCUUUACCAUUUAUUUUAGCUUUUCAGUUUAGUAAAUUGCAUUUUAUAGCUCAGUGAAUCCUAGUCUAUUUUAUCCUUAAUUUUUCUAGCUUAUUGCAUUAAUGUUGUUGCAUGAGUUAAUCCCAGAUUACAUCUGGAAUUGUCGCCGCACUUGACAAUUGUCCAGAUAAGAACCAAAAUUUCGUGAGCUAUCCAGUCUGGUCCAACCUGUACGUACAAGGACAAAAUAAUUUUAAAGGAAUGACACUUGUACUAUGAGAGGAGGACAUAAAAGGUGGAGUGAGUAGAAAAAGAGGUUUUUUUCUCCACCAUCAUCUUCAUCAUCUUACUUGGAAGCUUGUGGUCAUGGUAGCUUAAGCCUCUCACGGGUGAGCUAACGUGCAAACUGAAUGCAGACUAGCUCCUAACGGGGAGAUCUAAGUGCGAGACAAGAGGGAAUAAAGAGAUUUAGUUGAGUUGUUUAGGAAUAUAAUUCUCCACUUGAUUUUUUCUUAUUUCUUUCUAAAUGUUGGUGAUUACUCUUUGAUUUCUGAUUGUAUGGAAGUACUGAUGAAUUCUUGGUGAAAUGUUAUCUUAUUUAAUCUUACUUUUAUUGUUUAAUCUUGGGUUUGAAUUUUUUUAACACGGAAGUGUUAUUGUAGUGACAGUUUGAUCCAACAAGCAUUUCAACGGAAUUUGAGUGAGGAUUAGAGGAAUUCAGUCCACUUGUUCUUAAUAGUACCGUAUUGCCAUCAUCGGAAGGUGAGGUUAAUAUGCAUGUUUAAGUCUCAGAUUAAAUAGAGAAGUAACACUGGGUAAGAUUUACAUUGAAUCUUAUUGCUUCAACAAUCACCUAUCUUUUUAUACCUUGUGAGAACUUAGUAUUCUGCUGAAGAUUCAUGUUGGGGAUCCCAGUUUAUCAUUAUCAUAUUUUAUUUUAUUGUUUUCAGUUUAUUGCAUCGACAACUAUUCUCACAAUUUAUCUUGUUUCCAUCUAGUUGUUGCACCAACAUUAAUAAACAAAAUACUAUCAUCCCUGUGGGAUCGAUAUUUGACAGACUCAUAUCUGUCUACUAUAUUUUCAUCAAAAGUGUACGAUUGUACAUUAUUGUUGUGACGUUAAACAACCGAUCAAGUUUUUGGCAUCGUUGCCAGGGAUGGCGUUUGUUUGAUGUUUGUUUUUGUUUUUUUGUGUUUUUGCACUUUAUUUUCCUUAUAUAAUAUUUAGUUUUCACUAAUUGGUUUUUCUUUGUUGCUAUUUAUUUAACUUCAAUUUAGGUGUUUUAUGACUUGAAGAAAUUUGGAUUUUCUUAUCGAUUUUGAUCCAGAAAUUGAAAGGACUGUUCAGAGUAGACUUCCAGAACAAAGAAGUAUGGCUCUACCAGGGAACAAUGCAGCCAUACCCCCGAUGCAACAGUAAAAUGUUAAUAACCCAUUGUUGUUGUAAGAUGCUCGUAUACAAAAUAGGAUUAUACGAGAUUUUUUAGUACCUGUUUUGGAUGAUUUACAACUAGGAGUUGUUAGGCCAGCAAUCCAAGUUGGGAAUUUUGAACUCAAGCUAGUAAUGUUUCAAAUGUAGAAUUCUAAUGGACAAUAUGUUGGACUUCCACACGAAGAUGUGAAAGAACAUCUUAAAUCUUUUUAUUGAUCUAUGUUUCUUUUAUUCAACAAGCCAUUCCUGAUAAUGCUUUGAAGAUGCAAUUAUUUCCUUAUUCCUUAUAGGGAAGAGCCCGUACUUGGUUUUUUAGACUACCUGCCAGAUCAAUUACUUUUUGGGAUGCAUUAGCAACACAGUUUAUUUUGCGAUUUAACCCACCGACAAUGAAUACUCGUCUUCGAAAUGAUAUUACUACUUAUCAUCAGUUGGGUGAUAAAAAUCUUCAUACCAUAUGGGAACAUUAUAAAUCUUUACUUCGACAUUGUCCUAUGCACGGCAUUUAACUAGAAACACAAAUUGAGAUUUUUUUUAUAACGGGUUGAAUUUACAAAUAAGGAAUCAUGUCGACGCAUCAGCUAAUGGAUCUCUGCUGGAUUGUACUUAUAAUGAUGCUGUGAGAAUUCUUGAAAGAACUGCUCAGAAUGAUUAUCAAUACCCUAUCUCCAGAGUUGCACAAGCAAAAACUACUCCAGGAGUUAUUAAGUUGGAUGUAAUAAUUGCACUAACUGCUCAAGUUUCUUCUCUCACAAACAUGAUUAAAAUAUGCAAGGGACUAGUGGUGUUGCACCUAUACAAGUCGCUCAGCAAGUUGAUGUUCCUACCUUUUUUGUGAGAUUUGUAGUGAUAACCAUAGCUAUGAAAAUUGUCUGCAACAUGUAGAGAAUGCCUGUCAUAUUAGUAACAUCCGCAACAAUUCUUAUGGAAAUUCUUACAACAACUCUGUACGCAACUAACAGUUUGGAGAAACUCAGAAUGCUGGACAAAUAUGAGAAUACAUCUACUCAGGGCAAUUAUAAUCACAGGUAAAGGAACUACAAUCAACAAAAGCAGAACUACAAUCAGCACACUCAGAUACAUCUACAACAAGGCUAGACACAUCUACACCAAAAUUCGAUGUAGCCACAAUACUAUUCACUACCAAAUCAACAUGUUCAAGGACAUCGAAAACAACCAUACACUAAGCUUCUACUUCUGACCCAUUAGCAACUCUUGAAGUGUUAAUGCGAGAGCAUAUUUCUCAUACGAAAGCUAUCGUACAAGGGAAUGCAUCUUCGAUUUUCGACCAUUGGAAGAUCAAUUAGGACAACUUGCUUCAAAUCCGAAUACUCGACCACCAGGUUUAUUACCUAGUGGCACGGAAAAUCCUAUUCCGAGGGGAAAGAACAUUGUAAGGCUAUCACUCUUAGGAGUGGUAAACAAAUUAGAGAACCGUUUAUCGACUCUACUAUAGCACUUCAAGAUAGAGAUGGAGUGGUCACUGGCGAGAAGGUUGAAUCUAAAGAAUUUUUCAUGAAUCAAACAAAGAAGUUCCACAAAUUGUCACUCAUAUACCCGAUGUCAUACCUUCAAAACUAUCGACGUAAUCAAAGGUGUCGGCGUAAGCAGAUAUAUCUCUACCUUUACCCUUUCUACAAAGAUUCAGGGAGAAUGAGCAUGACAAGUAAUAUCAGUAGUUCCUAGACACACUGAAGCAACUACAGAUAAACAUUCUUUUAGUGGAAGUUCUAGUAAAAAUUCUGAGUUAUGGGAAAUUUAUGAAAUACCUCUUGUCUAAGAAGAAGAAGCUCCCUGAUAUUGAAACUAUUGCACUCACAGAAGGUUGUAGUACUAUUUUGACAAACAAGUUGCUCCUUAAAUUAAAAGAUCCUUGGAUAUUUACCAUCCCAUGUUCAAUUGUUAAUCAUUAUUUGGGUAAGGCUUUAUGUGACUUAGGAGCUAGCAGUAACCUAAUGCCAUUAUCCACUUUCUGAAAGUUGAGAAUUGGUCACAUGAAAUCUACUACAGUGACAGUACAACUAGUCGAUCGAUUUUCUCAAAAUCAUAUCUUUUUACCUUUAAACUGUUCUCCCUCAACAAAAGAUGGCCAAAACAAGAGGCUCGGUCAAGAAAACCACUAAAUCUGUUAGAGAACAUGCGUCUUCUACUACCACAGUUCGUGAAUUAGAAUCCCCUAGGCCAGUGCAGACAAAUGAGCCAGUAAUCAUUUUGAAUAAACAAUAAAUGAAUGAUUUCACAACAAUAUACUGAAGCAAAAAUUCUAUCCCGAGUAGGGCAUUUCCCUUUCGCCACAACAAGACUUGGGUAAGCAAGUCUCCAAAACCAUCUCGAAGUUAAAAUAGAAGACCAUUUACACCCAUCUUGACAGCUACUCUCCUUUACUGGUACGUGAGUUUUAUGCUAAUCUUUACUAUCAUGAGUUAGAGUUCGUUUUCGUUCAAGAAGGUUUAAUACCAUAGGACGCUGCAACAACCAACGAGGUGUACAACACCAAGGUCGAUGUCGAUGAACACUGCAAGUUCAUGGAUGAUAUCACAGAUGAAAAACGAGAUCUGUUGGUGAGAGACUUGUGUGUCAAGGGAGCAGUGUAGAAUGGUUCCCAUAAAAAAAAUUACACGAUGCACCGUCGCUUCCUGACGCUACAAGGAAAAAUUUGGUUUCAUUUUGUCAACUGCAGGCUAAAGUCCUCCACUCACAACACUACAGUCACCCUAGACAGAAUGUGUCUAAUACAUUCUACUGUCAAGGGAAGAAAAUUUGAUGUAGGCGCAAUACUUCACCAAGGCUAAAGUCCUCCACUCACAGCACCACAGUCCCCCUAGACAAAAUGUGUCAAAUAAAUUCUAUUAUUAAGGGCAGAAAUUAAUGUAGGCAUAAUACUUUACCAAGAAAUAGUUGACUGCGCUGCAAGGCAGACUAGGAUAUUGGUUUUCCUAUCACUAGUGAUGUUAUUAUGCCAGCAAAGAGAAAUCGUGCCCUUUGCUGGUGCGAAAGUCUUGGAAAAUAAAGGCCCAAUCAAUGAAGCCUCUAUAGAAAGAAUAACUAGAAGCAAUAACACACCGAUAUUGAAGGAAGCGAAGACCAGCAAGACAAGAAAGGGUAAAGCCAAAUCUGACAAAAAUGGAACAAACUUAAAUGCAGAGACAUCAUUAUGGCAUAAACUAAAAGAUGUCGAAGAAAUGGUAAAUUACAUCAACAACAGGCAAAUUCGGCUUGUCACUAUAGUAGAAGAUAUGGAGAAAUCCCAGAAUUUGUUUUAUGCUUAUACUGGAGCCUGGAAUAGUUCUAUUGUAGCGACAUUAGACCAACUGAGCCCAUCAUCACUAUUUAAGUUCCCUGUAUUUCCAUAAAUCAUUCGCAAUUAUGACCCCUCUUCCUCGGAUGAAGACUUAGAAGGUCGAGAUAAACCGGUGGCAUCCCCACUCAUUAUGCAGGUCUCUGAUACUGAGAAAGAAAAGGAAUCUAGGGAGCUUGAAAAAUGCCUACGAAAGAUUGAUAGCUUGUUUGAUGAUAGUAUUUUUGCUGAUCAAGAGGACACUGUUUUUGAGAAGGAAGUUGCUGCUGCAGAAGAGGAAAUUGUUGCUGAAGAAGAAGAAGUUGCUGGAAAUAAGAAAGAAAAAGAAGAAAAAGAUUUUGUUGAGAUGAUUAUCACCGCACCAGAGUCUAUGGGUGCAAAUAUUAAUAAUUUGGAGUGAACUGGAGUAAGACUGGCGGAAGAUGUUGAGGUAACCAGUGAGGAACAAUGUAAUUCAUUGGCAAUAGUGGUCUACAUUGGACCACUCCAAGUGGCCUCUCCUACACAAACAACAGCCAAUGAUACCGGGACAGAGCCUGGCACUGAGGAGCAAUCUGAAGACUGUGCAAAGCCUAAAGAAAAGAAAAGAAAGAGCUUUAAGAAUAAAAAAAAUAAAAGAAUGAGGAAAAGAAAAAGAGGAGAAAGAAACAUAUGCAUCCACAUCGACGGCUACGGAUAACAUAGUUAGUUUAUUUUAAGCUUUGGUUAUAGUAUUCAUGCAUUGCAUGUAGCUUUAGGUUUUAUUUUGAUAAAUAUAUAUUUUCAUUGCAAUGUUAUUGUUAUUACAUUGUCAUAUUAGUGCAUUGGGGACAAUGCAAACUUUAAGUUUGGGGGAAUACACAUGGGCCUUGGAAAUGCACCCACAUUUCAAAAAAAAAGUCAAAAAUAAAGCAUGUAAGGUUUAAUUAUAGUUAAUGGAAAUUGUUCAAAAUUUUUGUUACGUUCGAUGCUUAAUUCUUGAAUCAUGUAAAUUAUCAAUGAAUGAGUUGGACAAAUUUGACAGAAGGUUAUAGCUUCAAUUUUUUGAUGAAUGCAUUAGGUUGUAUUAGUAAUAGAUGACUGUCAUCAUUCCUUAAAUCUUGAAUUAAUCUACUUUUUACAACUGUUUAUAUAUGCAUAUAUAGUUAUAAAGUAGAGACACUCCAAAGUGGGAGUAAUAUGGAAUAUUAAAAAGAGAACACUUUAAUACAAGUGUUAGAAAAAUCAAUCUGGCCAAAAUCUGUCACUGCAUGAAUGUGUGUCGAUGCAAUUACGUACUCCCUGAGGGUUUAUUGCACCCCAUCGUCACUUCUCAAGAACAAGGGUACAGUAAUGCAACAAUAUCCCUUAUUCCAAAAAAUGUAUAUAUAUACUUAGUAUUGGACAAUAAAUGUUGUAAUGGUAGAUAGAACUUAAGGUUUAAAGCAUGAUGCUAGCUUUGAUGAAGUUUCAACCUUAUGCAUUCAUGCUUAUGAAUUGUCGAUGCAAUAUUCUUUCAUCUGAAUGUGAUUCAUCCAUUAGGAAAUUAGAGGAUUCAAGUUGCUAGAAUGAGCAUUUGCCUUAGUAAAAUUUUUGUAGCCUUGCUAGUUUCUAUUUUACUUGAGGACAAGUAAAAACUCAAGUUUGGGGGUGUGAUAGCACUAGAAAUAACAUAGGUUUUUCCCCUUACUUAUUGGUUAAAUUGUUCCCAUUUGGUUAUCCUUAGCAUACAUUUUAGCAUUUUCAGUUUAGUAAAUUGUAUUUUACAACACAGUGAAUCUUAGCCUAUUUUAUCCUUAAUUUUGCUAUCUUAUUGCAUUAAUGUCGCUAUAUGAGUUAACCCAAGAUUGCGUCCAGAAUUGUCACCGCACCUAACAGCUAUCCGGAUAGGAACCAAAACUACGUAAGCUUUUAGUCUAGUAUAACCAACCUGUAUGUACAAGGACAAAAUAAUUUUGAGGAAAGGACACUUGUACUAUGGGAGAAGGAAAUAAAAGGUGGACGUGAGAAGAAAAAUAGGAGUUUUUUUUCUCCAUCAUCAUCUUCAUCAUCCUACCUUGAAGCUUGCGACCAUGGUAUCUUAAGCCUCUCACAAGUGAGCUAACAUAAAAAUCGGAUGCAAACUAGCUCCUGACGAGGAGAUCUAAGUGCGAGACAAGAAGGAAUAGAGAGAUUCAGUCGAGUUGUAUAGGAAUAGAAUUCUCCACUCAAUUCUUUCUUAUUUCUUUCUAAAUGUUGGUGAUUACUCUUUGAUUUCUAGCUGUAUGGAAGUACUGAUGAAUUCUUGGUGAAAUGUUUUCUUAUUUAAUCUUGCUUUUAUUGUUUAAUCUUGGGGUUUGAAAUUUUUUAACAUGGAAGUGUUAUUAUGGUCACUGACACUGGAAAGUGCAAUGAAAAUUUGAGCCAACAAGCAUUUCAAUGGAAUUUGAGUGAGGAUUAGAGGAAUUGAGUCCACUUGUUCUUAAUAUUGUCGUAUUGCCAUCAUUGGAAGGUUAGGUUAAUAUGCAUGUUUGAGUUUUAGAUUAAAGAUUAAAAGAGGAGUAACACCGGGUAAGAUCUACAUUGAAUUUUAUUACUUUGACAAUCACAUAUCUUUUUAUACCUUGUGAGUACUUAGUAUUCCGCUGAAGAUUCAUAUUGGGGAUCCCAGUUUAUCAUUAUCAUAUUUUAUUUUAUUUUAUUAUUUUCAAGUUAUUGCAUCGACAACUAUUCUUACAAUUUAUCUUGUUUCAAUCUAGUUGUUGCACCGACAUUAAUAGACAAAAGACUACCAUCCCUGUGGGAUCGAUAUUCGACAAACUGACAUCUGUCUACUAUAUUUACAUCGAUAGUGUACACUUGCAUAUUAUUGCUGUGACGUUAAACAACCAAUCAAUCAUCUUUAGUAUUCUUCUCCACCAAAAUUCAAGACAGGAAUAGCCAUUGUUAGCGCUUUGAUGUUCAAAUAUCUUGUGUGUGUGCAUGUAAUUGAUUUCGAGCCCGUUCUUAAUGAUUUUUAUGUUUUUAAGUUCGUUUUAGCUUAAUCUAGCUACCCUAAGGGUCAGUUUGUAAAAUUAUUAAAGGUUAAGGGUUAUGCCAUGAAUGUUCUUAAAUGGUUUUUAAUGUUAAAGGAUAUAUUAUUAAUCUUUGUUGAAAAAUAAACAAGUUUUGUUAAGUGAUUUUUGUUGAAUUUUAGAAUUAGAGACUAAUUUGUUAAAGGUAUAAACUCUAGGGUUUUAUUGUGAAAUGAUGGUAAAUAUUAGUUUUUUCAAGGUCCCUUACAUGUUUGAUUAACAUGGAUUUAGAUUAAAAUGUUUAAAUUUUAAGUUAUAAGCUUAAGGAAUAAAUUGUGAAAAAGUUAAAAUGUUAAGGGAAAAUUGGUAAUUUUGUAUAAAAAUGAAAUGUGGAUUACAUUGAAUACUAGAAAUAUUAAAUUGAUUGAAAUAUCCAUUUAGAUCAAGAUAAACCACGUACAGACCUAGAUCGAAGAAAAGCAAAAGCUUCUGAUUUGUUCAACCUAACUACUACACCUCUAGUCGUCGAGGUAAGUUCGUAUGAAGGUUAUUGUGUAAUUGUUACAUACAUUGAACAUUUUCUAUGUUACUCUUAAUGUAGAUGGGUCAAUAUACAUAAACAUAUCAAUGUUAUGACGAAUUGAAGGUUAUCGAGUCCCUAUUGAACCUUAGGAAUUUUUAGGAUACAAAUGCCAUGUCAUUGGGGAUUUCAUGUUUCGGGGGUUGGUCUUAAAUGUCCUACCGAUUGCUAAGGUCCUACAUUUUUUGCGGAUUCUCCAUAGCUCAUGUGAGCAGCAUAAUGUAGCUUACAUUCCAACCCACAGCUCGUGUGGGUAAUGAUGUAAAGGAAUGAUUAUGGUUAUAUGUAAAAGCACACUUUGUGUGAGCUUUCCCAAUUAUCCGAGGUAAUUCUAAUUGGUUCAAUAGGAAAGAAAAGAUAACGUAAUGGUAAGUAUGUAAAUGGAAUGAAUCAUGAUUUAAUGAAAGGCUUGAUGAACUAAAUGAUGUUGUAUGCAUAUGGAAAAUUUCAUACCUUAUGAAUGAUUUCAUUUAUGUUAUGGAUGAACAUACUAACUUGUGAGUUGGUUAUGUUGUAUAGGUUUACAGUAAGCUUAUGGCAUUGGUAUUGAUUUGUACUUAUUCUAUGAAUUGUAUUAUAGAAAUGGUAAGUUACGUUUUAAGUUUAUACGAGUUUACUAAGGAUUCAUUGCUUUCGUAUUUUCUUUCUUAUAUUUUAUAGAUUAUCGAAAGCUCGAUUUGGUUGGAAGUCCAUCAGAGAUCUAUUACACUAUCUAGCAAACAAUUCGGUAGUUUUUGAACAUUUUGGCCAAGGUUUAUAAUGGCAUGUAUAGGAUUAGAUGUAAUGGUAUUUUGACGAAUGUUUUUUUUUUUGUGUUUUGGCAUGUAUAAGAUUUGAAAGUUAUCUUGGUUUGCUAUUAUUUGAUGCCUUGUGAAAUUGUGUCAUUUUGUUUACCUUAUUAUUCAUGGUUGUAUAGCUUUUUAUGGUAAGUUUGAAAUAGUAUGAUAACGGUCACAUUUGUGGUAUGUUUUGAUAAGUAUUGAACUAGAACAUGAUGCUUGGAUUAGGUAGGUGUGGAUUGAAUGUGUUUGAGGUGCCUUUGAAUGGCAUAAUGGUUAGUUGUAUUAAGAUCUUGAAAUGGCAUUUUGGUGUAUGUUUUGGUGAUUUUUACUUCCUUUUGAAGUGUGCUUAAAUGGGUUGAAAGGUCAUGCAUGAAAUGGUCUUGGAAAUGGCUUGCUUUUAGGUAAAUUUGGGUCCACACUGCCAGAGACACGGGCGUGUGACUCAGCCGUUUGAGACACACGGCCUGGCGACACAUCCAUGUGUCAUCUGAUGAUUUUCUUCUGUUGCAAGUCAGAGAGAUACAUGGCCUGGCACACGGCCAUGUGACACUACUCAAAGAGUUACAUGGGUGAGGACACAGACUGGGAUACAGCCGUGUGUCCCUAGUUUGAUAGUUACAUGGCCUGAGACACGGGUGUGUCUCUCAGCCAUGUGAGGCACACGGUCAUGUGACCCCUAUUUUGUAAAUUUUGCAUCUUUUUCCAAAACUUUUCAAACUAUUUCAAAUUAGUUUUGAAUUGUUUCUAAGUUAUUUUUAGGGUCUCAGGGCUCGAGUUAGAGACAAUAUGCAUAUGUAUGAAUGGUUUGUGAUGUGAUUAUAAUAUUGAAUGAUAUAAAGCUUAAAUGUGGUUGAUUGUAUGAUAAUGUUCCGUAACUGUAAUCUAGAGAUAGAGAUGAGUUAGGGGUGUUAUAUUUAGUGGUAUUAGAGCCACGGUUUAGUCAGUUCUCAAACUGAACAUGGCGUGUAGAAAGCAUUGUGAAACGUAUCUAGCUUACAUAUUUGAUUCUAGGGUUUCAGAAUUGAAACCAGAAUGGGUUUCAACUGUACAUGAGUUCACAGAUGUAUUACCAGGGUUACCACCUAUUAGAGUGGUUGAGUUUGCUAUUGAGUUAGUGCGGGAACAUUUCAGAUUUCGAUAGCUUCUGUGACAACCCGAAUUAGGGCCUAAUCAGAAUAGUUGUUUCGUGACCACAAAUCCGAGAUAAAAAUAAUUGUUUUAUAAUUAUUUUUGGGUUUAUGAUAUGAUUUCAUGAUUUCGUUAAAAUUUCGUGAUGAAAUUCUAUGCAUUGAGCGCUUAAGUUGAUAUUAGGGACUAAAACGAAUAAAUUGUAAAACUCGUGUUUUAGAAGUUUUUAGUAUGAAAUUGCUUUGGGAUAUUAACUAGGAGGUCUUAAAUAGAAAUUUGACCCAUUCCUAAGUUAUGGACAAAAGUUGGACAUGGAGGGAAUUUUUGGAAAGUUUAGUAGUAAGGGCAUUUUGGUCAUUUGUAUAUUAAAUGAAAUAAAAUGGGAAAAAUAACACAAAAUUGGUCAUCAUCUUCACUAGCUGCUGCCGAAAUUUUCUCUCCUCCAUAGCUAGGGUUUCUUCAACUUUCAAGCUUCAGAGUAAGUGAUUUCAAGCCCCGUUUUUAAUGUUCUUCACAUUUUUGAAAUCCUCGUAGCUCGGUUUACCUAUUUCUACCAUUAUUUCGAGUCAGGGUUUAUGUUUAAAAAUUUACCCAUGAAUGAUAGGCAUGUAUUGUGUUGUUUGAUGGUAGAAUAUGAAUGUUUUAAGUUAGGAGAACGAUCUUUUCUAAGCGAUUUUUAACAAAAACGAGCAAAACGGCAUAAUCGAUAAAAAUACCUAUUGUUCAUAACUAUGUGUUAGAGUGAGAAUUUGAUGUUCCCAUAGAAGAGAAAAAUGAUCAGUAGGUCAUUAAACAUAAGAAUAAGGACUGAAAUUAAAUUUCUGAGCCUUGGGGCAAAAUCGUAAUUUUGUAAAAGUUAGGGGCAAAAAUGUAAUUUUUGUAUAAUGUAAUUUUUGGAUUAAAAUAAAUAGUUCGAGUGUUAAAUGAGCUAAAUAUGUUAUUAUAGAUCAAUAAAGGCGUGGAAUCGACCUCGAACGGGGGAAGGAGAAAGUUUUGGACUAAAUUGCAAAAUGCCCAUAUUUUGCACCGAGGUAAGUUUGUAUGUAAAUAAUACAUUAAUUUCAUUUACAUUCUUAUAUUUCAGCCUAUUAUAUAUAUACUAGCUGAUGUUGAAGUAUAAAUCGACUAUUGGAAGAAUGGAAAUAAGUAAUAGAGAGAGAGAUCCCAGUUGAACAUUCGGAAAGAUUGAAUAAAAUAGAGGGAGCAUAGCUAGGUCACAUGUAUGGUGCUGAGUGCACAUCAUGUGUACAAGAAAGCUACGAGAUACUAUGUAGUAGCUAGGUCACAUGUGUGAUACGGGAUGUAUCCCAUGUAGACAAGAGAGCUACGUGAGAGAUAAAUGUAGCUAGGUCGUAUGCGUGAUUCCAAGUGAAGGACACCAUGUAGACAAGAGAGCUACGAGACAAAUCGGCUAGGUCGCAUGAGUGGUACUAAGUGUUCACCAUGUGGACAAGAGAGCCGAAUUAAAUGAAAUAUGAUGGUGGGGCUGUGUGCUAAAACCAUCAAGUAUCGAGGAUUAAUCCGAAUUGUUCAAUGGGAUGGCUUUGUGGUGACAUUGUAGUCAUGGGCCUAUACUUGUGAUGUAUGAAAUGUGGUGAAAAUGAUUUGUGAUAUAUAUAUAUAAGUUAAAAUGAGGUUAGUACAAAGAAUGUGUGAAAGAGUGAAAUUAGCAUUAAAACUGUUUUGGGCAGUAGCAGUGACGUGAUUUUUAAAAACCACCAAAAAUAGAAGGAAUUUAAUUAGAGGUUUAAUGAGAUGUUAAAUUAAAUCUUAAUUAGUCUAUUUUCAUAUAAAAGAAACAGAGUAGGAAAAGGAAUUCUAUAUUUUGAGAUAUUUACAAUUGUGUGUGACUUGCUCAGGAUGACUAUGUGAUCCCCUGUUCCAAAUUUGAAAAAUCAUUAAAAAUUGUACAAAAAAAAUUAAUAAAUAUAGUUUAUAUGACUAAAUUCCUUAUUGAGUCUAGUUUUAAAUGAAACAGGUUUCAUGGUUAUUUGAGUUGUGUACUAAGAGAAAUUCAAUUCAUAGUAAAUAGAGGUCAAAUCAAUUGAGCUGUGUAACAGGGGAAACUUUAACUAAUAAACUGUACUAAUUGGCUGAACCAAAAAUUCUAGAAAAAAAAUUAGUAAGAAUUUUUAUGAGUCUAGAUUUAGGAAAAUUUUACGGAUUUGAAUUUUGAGUUUCGUAACUCAAGUUAUGAUUUAUUUAGUGAUCAUGACGCAGGAGGGACAGCUUGAUCAAAUCGGAGUAAAUAGUAAAAUUAAAAAUAUGAUAUAAUUGAGUUAUGUUGUAAACAUAUUAGAUUCCUUAUUUGUUAUUUAUAUACUUACUUACUAAGCUAUAAGCUUACUUUCUUUUCUCUCCUUUGUCUUAUAGUGUCAUCCAGCUAGCACAGGAGUUAGAGAUCGUUGAAGAUCCGCCCGCACUAUCAAUACUCUUGGUAUUCGAACUCAACAUUUUGAAAUAUGGCAUGUAUAGCAGACUUAGUUAUUUAGUUACGUGUCAUAAUUGUCUAGGUUUAAAAUACUAAUUAUAGUAUCAAACUAAUCAUUUUUUACGAAGCCUUUGAAAUUGGUUUGUAUUGUUAAUGGCAUAUGUUAUAAUGAUUCAUGAUCAAAUUGCACGCCAUAUUUUUGUUGGGUUUUAUUUAAUAGUAUAUACUAUAAUUUGUUAAUACCUCGUACCCUGUUCCGGCGACGGAUACGGGCAAGGGGUGUUACAUUUAGUGGUAUCAGAGCUAUGGUUUAGUCGGUUCUCGGACUAAUAAAGUGUGUGUAAAAGUCUAGCUAUACAUGCCAUAAAAAUAUUGUGAUAGUGUGGUGACUCCUGAUUAUUCUAAACUGUGUUUUGUUUUAAUAUAGUAAUGGAUCCUGAAAGAACUGUGGCUGAUGAUGCUGCUAGUAAUGCGCCGACUUCCGCACAAGGGACCGCGCCUGUGGAAAGUAGACCUGAGACAUUGAGACAGGGAGAUGAGGCUCGGGAUGCCUUUCUCCAAAUGAUGAACAAUUGGUAUACUGAGUUUAUUCGAGCAAAUCCAAAUGCUCAACCUCCUCCACCCCCUCUCAUACCUCAGACGAUUCCUGUAGUUGCUCAAGGCAUAGAUUUGGUAAGAACGAACAAGCCUCCGGUUGACAAGAUUCGAAAACAAGGGGCCGAAGAGUUUAGAGCAAAGAUCGAUGAUGAUCCUGAGAAAGUGGAGUUCUGGCUUGAAAAUUCUACCCGUGUAUUUGAUGAGCUCUCAUGUACACCCGAGGAGUGCUUAAAAUGUGCUGUAUCACUUUUGAGAGAUUCGGCCUACCACUGGUGGAAGAAUUUGGUAGCAGUGGUGCCAAAAGAAAGAGUUACUUAGGAUUUCUUCUAGGAAGAAUUUAGAAAGAAAUACAUAAGUCAGCGAUUUAUUGAUAAAAAACGGAAGGAGUUCCUUGAAUAGAAGUAGGGCAAGAUGUCUGUGGCAGAGUAUGAACGCGAAUUUAUAAGACUCGGCAAGUAUGCCCAGGAAUGUGUGUCCACCGAGGCCAUUAUGUGCAGAAGGUUUGAGGAUGGGCUAAAUGAGGACAUUAAAGUGCUUGUGGGAAUUUUGGAGUUGAAAGAAUUUGUAGUAUUGGUUGACCAAUCUCUUAAAGUCAAAGAAUUGAACAAAGAAAGAAGAAAAGCUGCUAUUGAGGCCCGAGAUGCCAGAAAAAGGCCGAUAAGCAAGUCAUUUCAAUCUCAAUCAAAGAGGUCCAAAGAGACAAACCCUCGAAUGACAGUUUCAACUGGGGAUUCACACAGAGAUCGUGGUAGAGCAUAUUUGGGGUCUAAAGCUCAAGCUACUUCGGUGGCAAGUGUGGGUAAUGUGCGACCUAGAAAGCUCGAGUGUCAGCAAUGUGGCAGGCAACAUUAUGGUGAGUGUUGGGGAAACGAGCGAUCUUGUUUUGGGUGCGGUUCUCACGAGCAUUUUAUUAGAGACUGUCUGGAGAAAGUUAAAGAAGAAAGAUUUCAGAGUGCUAGACAGAAUACCACCGCUAGCAGAGGUAGACCACCGAGAAAUACUAGAGGUGGGACUAGCAGUAAAACUGCGAUGAAAGAUUCAGCGGCGAGAUCAGAAGCUAGAGCGCCUGCUAGAGCUUAUGCUAUACGUGCCCGAGAGGAUGCAUCAUCUCCCGAUGUCAUUACUGGUACAUUUUCUCUCUAUGAUACUAUUUUUAUUGCAUUGAUUGAUCCCGGGUCCACUCAUUCCUAUAUUUGCAUGAAUUUAGUAUCUAAUAAAAAGUUGCCUGUUGAGUUUACUGAGUUUACGAUUAAAGUGUCGAACCCCUUAGGCCAAUAUGUGCUAGUUGACAAGGUUUGCAAGAAUUGUCCAUUAAUGAUUCAAGGUCACUGUUUUCCGGCUAAUCUGAUGCUGUUACCAUUUGAUGAGUUUUACGUUAUUUUGGGAAUGGACUGAUUGACAUUGUAUGAUGCCAAGGUAGAUUGUAAACAAAAAACACUAGAGUUGAAAUGUGAAAAUGGAGAAAUUCUGUGGGUUGAAACAGAUGAAUCAAAUAAAUUGCCUAUGGUGAUUUCGCACAUGUCUGCACAGAAAUACAUGAGGAAAGGGUGUGAAGCUUAUUUGGCUUAUGUAAUGAAUACUGAGUUGCCUCAACUGAAGUUUGAAUCAGUACCGAUAGUCUGUGAGUUUCUAGAUGUAUUUCCAGAGGAAUUGCCUGGGUUACCUCCGAACAGAGAGAUAGAGUUUGCCAUUGAUUUGUUGCCGGGUACUGCACCGAUCUCGAUUGCUCCAUAUAGAAUGGCUCUGACUGAAUUAAAAGAAUUGAAGGCUCAGUUGCAAGAGUUAACAGAUAAGGGAUUUGUGAGACCGAGUUUCUCUCCCUGGGGUGCUCCUGUAUUGUUCGUAAAGAAGAAGGAUGGUUCAAUGAGACUUUGCAUUGAUUACCAUCAACUUAAUAAGGUGACUAUAAAGAACAAGUACCCAUUGCCGAGGAUUGAUGAUUUAUUCAAUCAGUUAAAGGGGGCCACAAUGUUUUCAAAGAUCGAUUUGAGGUCUGGUUACUACCAGUUGAGAGUUAAGGAGUCGGAUGUGCCGAAAACUGCCUUUAGGACAAGGUAUGGACAUUAUGAGUUUCUUGUGAUGCCUUUCAGCUUAACAAAUGCUCCAGCUAUAUUUAUGGACUUGAUGAACCGGAUCUUUCGGCCAUAUUUGGAGAAGUUUGUAGUAGUGUUUAUAGAUGACAUUCUAAUUUAUUCUCGGGAUGAGUUUGAACAUGCCGAACACUUGAGAACCAUAUUGCAAAUCUUGAGAGAAAAGAAACUGUUUGCUAAGUUUAGUAAAAGUGAGUUUUGUCUUCGUGAAGUCGGAUUUUUGGGACAUAUAGUCUCAGGUUAUGGUAUUCGGGUGGAUCCAAGCAAGAUUUCCGCGAUCGUUGAUUGGAAACCGCCAAAGAAUGUAUCCGAGGUUAGAAGCUUUUUAGGCUUGGCCGGGUAUUAUAGACGUUUUCUUGAGGGAUUUUUGAUGAUUGCCUCUCCUAUUACUAAGUUGUUGCAAAAGAAUGUUAAGUUUGAAUGGACUGAAAAAUGUCAGCAGAGUUUUGAAAAGUUGAAAGCACGAUUGACUGAAGCACCAAUUUUAGCACAGCCUGAGCUAGGAAAGGAGUUCGUAAUUUAUAGUGAUGCAUCAUUGACAGGCCUUGGAUGUGUGUUGAUGCAAGAGGGUAAAGUGGUAGCUUAUGCUUCGAGACAGUUAAAACUGCAUAAGAAGAACUAUCCUACACAUGAUUUGGAAUUGGCCGCUAUUGCCUUUUCCUUGAAGAUUUGGCGACAUUAUUUGUAUGGUGAAAAAUGCCGAAUUUUUACUGAUCACGAAAGUUUGAAGUAUUUGAUGAAUCAAAAGGAUUUGAAUCUGCGACAGCGGAGAUGGCUCGAAUUAUUAAAGGAUUAUGAGCUAGUGAUUGAUUAUCAUCCGGGAAAAGCAAAUGUAGUUGCUGACACCUUGAGCAGGAAAUUUCUUUUUACUUUGAGAGCCAUGAAUAUGGGGUUAGCAUUGUCUGAUGAUGGGUCAAUCUUAGCAGAGAUGAGGGCUAAACCGUUAUUUCUCCAGCUGAUUUGUGAUGCUCAAAAGAACGAUAGUGAGUUGUGAACCAAGGAACUCAAUGCGAAUCAGGUUACGACUCAGAUUUUCGAGUUGGACUAGACGACUGUUUGAUGUUUCGAGACAGGAUAUGUGUACCGAAAAAUUAUGAAUUGAUUCAGAAAAUAUUAGAUGAGGUGCACAGUGGCUGUUUAUCAGUUCACCCUGGUAGCACAAAAAUGUAUAAUGAUUUAAAGAAGUUAUAUUGGUGGCCAGGUAUGAAAAGGGACAUUUCUGAAUUUGCAACCAAGUGUUUGAUUUGUCAACAAGUAAAAGCUGAACAUCAAGUGCCUUCAAGACUACUUCAACCGGUAAUGGUGCCUGAGUGGAAAUGGGACAAGAUUACCAUGGAUUUUGUAGCCGGUUUGCCUUUGACUCCUAAAAAGAAGGAUGCUGUUGGGUAGUGGUUGAUAGAUUAACAAAGUCAGCCCACUUUAUACCAGUACGUAGCGAUUACUCACUUGAUAAAUUAGCUGAAUUAUAUAUUGCUGAAAUUGUGAGGUUGCACGGAGUACCUAUGUCUAUAAUAUCAGAUAGAGAUCCGAGAUUUACCUCAAGAUUUUGGAAAAAGUUACAAGAAGCUUUUGGUAAAAAAUUGAACUUUAGUACCGCAUUUCAUCCACAAACAGAUGGUCAGUCAGAAAGAGUAAUCCAGGUACUCGAGGAUAUGCUUAGAUGCUGUGUCUUAGAAUUUGGAGGUAGUUGGGAGAAAUAUCUAUCUUUGAUUGAAUUUGCCUACAAUAAUAGUUAUCAGUCAAGUAUACAAAUGGCACCGUACGAAGCCUUGUAUGGUCGCAAGUGUCGGACUCCUUUAUAUUUGACCGAACUUAGUGAGAAAUAGAUUCACAGAGUUGAUCUAGUUAAAGAAACCGAAGAGAAAAUAAAAGUAAUUCGGGAUUGCUUGAAAGCUGCUUUAGUUCGACAAAAGUCAUAUGCAGAUUUAAAAAGAAAAGAGAUUGAAUUUCAGGUGGGUGAUAAAGUGUUCUUGAAGGUGUCACCAUGGAAAAAGAUUCUGAGAUUUAGCCGAAAAGGCAAGUUGAGUCUGCGUUUUAUUGGGCCGUACGAGAUUACUGAGAGGAUUGGACCAGUGGCAUUUCAGUUAGCCUUACCGGCAGAGUUAGAAAGAAUUAAUAACGUGUUUCAUGUAUCAAUGUUGCGACGUUAUCAUUCUGAUCCUUCACAUGUGAUUUCUCCAGCAGAAAUUGAGAUUCGACCGGAUAUGACCUAUGAGGAACCAAUAAAGAUUUUGGCUCGGGAAAUUAAAUAGUUAAGAAAUAAAGUAUAGCCUUAGUGAAAGUAUUGUGGCACAGACAUGGGAUAGAAGAGGCUACAUGGGAACCUGAGGAAGCUAUGAGGAAACAGUACCCAAACCUCUUUACCGGUAAGAUUUUCGGGGACGAAAAUCUCUAAAGGGGGGGAGAAUUGUGACAACCCGAAUUAGGGCCUAAUCAGAAUAGUGGUUUUGUGACCACAAAUUUGAGAUAGAAAUAAUUGUUUUAUAAUUAUUUUGGGGUUUAUGAUAUGACUUCAUGAUUUCAUGAAAAUUUCGUGAUGAAAUUCUAUGCAUUGAGCGCUUAAGUUGAGAUUAGGGACUAAACCGAAUAAAUUGUAAAACUCAUGUUUUAAAAGUUUUUAGCAUGAAAUUACUUUGGGAUAUUAACUAGGAGGUCUUAAAUAAAAAUUUGACCCAUUCCUAAGUUAUGGACAAAAGUUGGACAUAGAGGGAAUUUUUGGAAAGUUUAGUAGUAUGGGCAUUUUGGUCAUUUGUAUAUUAAAUGAAAUAAAAUGGGAAAAAUAACACAAAAUUGGUCAUCAUCUUCACUAGUUGCUGCCGAAUUUUCUCUCCUCCAUAGCUAGGGUUUCUUCAACUUUCAAGCUUCAUAGUAAGUGAUUUCAAGCCCCGUUUUUAAUGUUCUUCACAUUUUUGAAAUCCUCAUAGCUCGGUUUACCUAUUUCUACCAUUAUUUUGAGUUAGGGUUUAUGUUUAAAAAUUUACCCAUGAAUGAUAGGCAUGUAUUGUGUUGUUUGAUGGUAGAAUAUAAAUGUUUAAAGUUAGGAGAACGAUCUUUUCUAAGCAAUUUUUAACGAAAACGAGCAAAACGGCAUAAUCGAUAAAAAUACCUAUUGUUCAUAACUAUGUGUUAGAGUGAGAAUUUGAUGUUCCCAUAGAAGAGAAAAAUGAUCAGUAGGUCAUUAAACAUAAGAAUAAGGACUGAAAUUAAAUUUUCGAGCCUUGGGGAAAAAUCAUAAUUUUGUAAAAGUUAGGGGGCAAAAAUGUAAUUUUUGUAUAAUGUGAUUUUUGGAUUAAAAUAAAUAGUUCAAGUGUUAAAUGAGCUAAAUAUGUUAUUAUAGAUCAAGAAAGGCAUGGAAUCGACCCUCGAAUGGGGGAAGGAGAAAGUUUUGGACUAAAUUGCAAAAUUCCCAUAUUUUGCACCGAGGUAAGUUUGUAUGUAAAUAAUACAUUAAUUUCAUUUACAUUCUUAUAUUUCAGCCUAUUAUAUAUAUACUAGCUGAUGUUGAAGUAUAAAUCGACUAUUGGAAGAAUGGAAAUAAGUAAUAGAGAGAGAUCCCGGUUGAACAUUCGGAAAGAUUGAAUAAAAUAGAGGGAGCAUAGCUAGGUCACAUGUAUGGUGCUGAGUGCACAUCAUGUGUACAAGAAAGCUACGAGAUACUAUGUAGUAGCUAGGUCACAUGUGUGAUACGGGAUGUAUCCCAUGUAGACAAGAGAGCUACGUGAGAGAUAAAUGUAGCUAGGUCGUAUGCGUGAUUCCAAGUGAAGGACACCAUGUAGACAAGAGAGCUACGAGACAAAUCGGCUAGGUCGCAUGAGUGGUACUAAGUGCUCACCAUGUGUACUAGAGAGCCGAAUUAAAUGAAAUAUGAUGGUGGGGCUCGAGGAUUAAUCUAAAUUGUUCAACGGGAUGGCUUUGUGGUGACAUUGUAGUCAUGGGCCUAUACUUGUGAUGUAUGAAAUGUGGUGAAAAUGAUUUGUGAUAUAUAUAUAUAUAAGUUAAAAUGAGGUUAGUACAAAGAAUGUGUGAAAGAGUGAAAUUAGCAUUAAAACUGUUUUGGACAGUAGCAGUGACGUGAUUUUUAAAAACCACCAAAAAUAGAAGGAAUUUAAUUAUAGGUUUAAUAAGAUGGUAAAUUAAAGCUUAAUGAGUCUAUUUGCAUAUAAAAGAAACAGAGCAAGCAAAGGAAUUCUAUAUUUUGAGAUAUUUACAAUUGUGUGUGACUUGCUCAGGAUGACUAUGUGAUCCCCUAUUCCAACUUUUAAAAAUCAUUAAACAUUGUACAAAAAAAAUUAAUAAAUAUAGUUUAUAUGCCUAAAUUCCUUAUUGAGUCUAGUUUUAAAUGAAAUAGGUUUCAUGGUUAUUUGAAUUUUGUACUGAGAUAAAUUCAAUUCGUAGUGAAUAGAGGUCAGAUCAGUUGAGCUGUGUAACAGGGGAAACUUUAACUAAUAAACUGUACUAAUUGGCUGAACCAAAAAUUCUAAAAAAAAAUUAGUAAGAAUUUCUAUGAGUCUAGAUUCAGGGAAAUUUUACAGAUUUGAAUUUUUAGUUUCGUAACUCGAGUUAUGAUUUAUUUAGUGAUCAUGACGCAGAAGGUCAGCUUGAUCAAAUCGGAGUAAAUAGUAAAAUUAAAAAUAUGAUAUAAUUGAGUUAUAUUGUAAACAUAUUAGAUUCCUUAUUUGUUAUUUAUAUACUUACUUACUAAGCUAUAAGCUUACUUUCUUUUCUCUCAUUUGUCUUAUAGUGUCAUUCAGCUAGCACAGGAGUUAGAGAUCGUUAAAGAUCCGCCCGCACUAUCAAUACUCUUGGUAUUCGAACUCAACAUUUUGAAAUAUGGCAUGUAUAGCAGACUUAGUUAUUUAGUUACGUGUCAUAAUUUUCUAGGUUUAAAAUACUAAUUAUAGUAUCAAACUAAUCAUUUUUUACGAAGCCUUUGAAAUUGGUUUGUAUUGUUAAUGGCAUAUGUUAUAAUGAUUCAUGAUCAAAUUGAACGCCAUAUUUUUUUUGGAUUUUAUUUAAUAGUAUAUACUAUAAUUUGUUAAUACCUCGUACCUUGUUCCGGCGACGGAUACGGGUAAGGGGUGUUACAAUUUCGUAUAGAAUGGCAUCUGCAGAACAUAAAAAGUUAAAAGCACAGUCACAAGAGUUGGCAGAUACAGACUUUGUUCAGCCUAGUUUUUCUCCUUGAGGUGAUCUUGUUUUGUUUGUUAAGAAAAAUGACGGAUCAAUGUGGUUGUGUAUCGACUACCAAUAGCUCAACAAAGUCACGAUCAAGAACAAAUGUCUUUUGCCACAUAUAGGUGAUUUGUUUGAUCAGCUGAAAGCAACAACAGUGUUUUCAAAGAUUGACUCCGUUCAGGAUAUUAUCAAUUAUAGAUUGAAGACUCGGAUGUGCCAAAUACUGUUUUCAGAACUCGGUACAAACAUUAUGAAUUUCUUGUUAUUCCAUUUGGUUUGACCAAUGCACCUGCUAUGUUUAUGGAUUUGAUGAAUAGGACAUUCAAGCCGUAUUUAGACAGAUUUUUGGUUGUGUUCAUUGAUGAUAUACUUAUUUAUUCCCGAGAUGAGACAGAGCAUACCCAGCAUUUGAGAAUAGUUUUGCAGACUUUACGUGAAAAAUAGUUUUUCUCUAAGUUUAGCAAAUGUAAGUUCUGGCUUCAGAAAGUUGGAUUUUUGGGACACAUGGUAUCAGUGGACGAUAUUAGAGUUGAUCCAAGUAAAGUAUCGGCUAUAGUGGACUGGAAGCCUCCGAGAAAUGUGUCUGAAGUAAGAAGUUUUCUGGGUUUAGCAAAAUAUUGUAAAAAAUUUGUAAAAGGAUUUUCAAUGAUUACUACACCAUUGAUGAAACUGCUUAGAAAGAUCUCAAGUUUGAAUGGUUUGAGAAAUGUCAACAAAGCUUUGAUCAAUUGAAAGCGUUGUUAAUCAAGGCACCUGUGUUAGUUUAGCCAGAGUCCGGUAAGGAAUUUUUUAUUUAUAGUGAUGUUUCAUUGGACGGUUUAGGUUGUAUAUUGAUGUAAGAAGGCAAAGUGGUAGCGUAUGCUUCUCGACAGUUGAAAUCGCAUGAAAAGAAUUACUCGACUUAUGAUUUAGAGCUUCUUUAAAGAUUUGGCGACACCGCUUGUACGGAGAAAAAUGUCAUAUUUUCACGAAUCACAAAAGCCUAAGGUAUUUGAUGUCACAGAAAGAUCUAAACUUGAGACAACGUUGAUCGUUUGAAUUACUAAAAGAUUACGACUUGAUCAUUGACUAUCACUUAGGAAAGGUUAAUGUCGUUGUUGAUGCUCUGAGUAGAAAAUCUUUAUUUGCUUUUUAAGCUUUGAAUACAAGAUUUACGUUGAUUGAUGAUGGUUCUAUACUAGUUGAAUUAGAAGCUAGACCAAAAUUUUUGCAAUAGAUUUGUGAGGCUUAGAAAAGUGACACUAAAUUGAUCGCUAAACGAAAAUAGAUUGAGUCAACAUCUGAUUCAGACUUUCAUGUUGGUUUAGACAAUAAUUUGUAGUUCAAAAUAGAAUUUGUGUUCCAAGGAAUUCUGAUCUCAUUCAGAAGCUUUUACAUGAAGUUCACAGUAGUAACUUAUCGUUACAUCCUGGUAGCAAUAAAAGGUACAGUGAUUUGAAACAGAUGUUCUUGUGGCUAGGUAUGAAACGAGAGAUUUCAGAGUUUGUAUCAAAAUGUGUGAUCUGUCAGCAAGUAAAAGCUAAGCAUUAAGUACCUUUUGGUUUAUUACGACCUAUGAUGAUUCCAGAGUGGAAAUGGGAAUGUGUUACAAUGGAAUUUAUGUCAGGAUUGCCUCUAUCUCCGAGAAAGAAAGAUAUCUUUUGGGUUAUUGUAGAUCGUUUGAUGAAAUCUACACAUUUCAUUCUAGUGCGUACGAAUUUUUCACUUGAUAAAUUAGCAUAAUUAUACGUUUCUGAGAUUGUCAGAUUACACGGUGUGCCAGAUUCUAUUAUCUCUGAUAGAGAUCCAAGAUUUAUGUCUUGAUUCUGGAGUAAGUUACAUAAAGCUUUGGGUACUCAACUACAUUUUAGUAUACCAUUUCAUCUACAAACCGAUGCUCAAUCUUAACAAGUAAUCCAGGUACUCGACGAUAUGCUCCGAUGUUGCGUUUUAGAGUUCAAAGGUAACUAGGAGAAAUUUCUUCCGUUUGUUAAAUUUGCAUACAACAAAAAUUAUCAAGAGAGCAUUAAAAUGGCACUGGAUAAAGCUUUGUAUGGUCAAAAAUGUCGAACAUCGUAAUACUGGACUGAGCUGAGGGAGAAAAAGUUAUUCAGUAUUGAUUUGAUUUGAGAAACUGAAGAAAAAGUCAAAGUGAUACGUAACCAUUUGAAAGCUGCUUCUGAUCAUUAGAAAUCUUAUGUAGAUUUGGAAAGAAAAGAUAUGGAGUUUCAAGUCAGUAACAAGGUAUUUCUAAAAGUAUCGCCUUGGAGAAAAGUUCUCUGGUUUGGCUGAAAAGGAAAGCUUAGUCCGUGAUUUAUCAGACCGUAUAAGAUUAUUGAGAGGAUUGGACCAGUGGCUUAUUGAUUGGCUUUUCCGUCUAAGUUAGAAAAGAUUCAUAAUGUAUUUCAUGUAUCAAUGUUAUGAUGGUAUCGAUCAGAUCCUUCACACGUGAUUUAACCUAUAGAUGUUGAGUUCAGCCAGCAAUGACGUACAGUGAAGAAACAAUCAAAAUUUAGCUCGGGAAGUUAAAGAAUUGAGAACAAAAGUAUAGCUUUAGUUAAAGUUACCUGGAAACGUCAUGGAAUGAAAGAGGCUACCUGGGAACCAAAAAAAGCUAUGAAAGUUCAAUACCCGAACCUAUUUUCUGGUAAGAUUUUCGGGGACAAAAAUUCCUUUAGGGGGAGAGUUGUAACAACGCAUUUUUAGUGAUAUCAAAAAUAGUGAUUUCAGGACCACAAUUCUGAUGAGUAAAUUAUUAUUUUAUUAUCAUUUUAACAUCUAUGCGAAUAUAUUAAGGUCGUAUUAAAAUUUCGUUAAGAAAUUUUUAUGUUUAAGUAAUUAAUUAAGUGAAAAGGACUAAAUCAUAAAAAGGUGAAAAGUUGAGUUAUAUUAGUUAAAAGGGUCAAAUGACUAUGAAACUUUAAACUAAAGGACUUGAAGGGAAAAUAACCAUUUAAUAAAUUAUUGGGUGUGCAUGGCAUUUUUUAUUGAAAUUUUGUUAGUUUUUAAAGGUUAAUUUGGUAAUUAAGUAAAUAAACUUAAAACAAAAAGGAAUUAAAAGAUAGUAUCAUCUUUAGUCUUCUUCUCCAUUGAGAUUCAAGAGAGGAAUAGCCAUUGUUAGGGCUUUAAUGUUUAGCUAGCUUGGGUGUGUGCAUGUAAGUGAUUCCAAGCCCUAUUCCUAAUGAUUUUUAUGUUUUUGAGUUCGUUUUAGCUUAAUCUAGCUAGCCCUGAGGUCAAUUUGUAAAAUUGUUAAAGGUUUAGGGUUAUGCCAUGAAUGUUCUUGAAUGUUUUUUGAUGUUACAUGAUAGAUUAUGAAUCUUUGUUGAAAAAUAAACAAGUUUUGUUAAGUGAUUUUUGUUGAAUUUUGGAAUUAGGGACUAAUUUGUUAAAGAUAUAAAUUCUAGGGUUUUAUUGUAAAAUUAUGGUAAAUAUUAGUUUUUUCAAGGUCGCUUGCAUGUUUGAUUAACAUGGAUUUAGAUUAAAAUGGUUAGAUUUUAAGUUAUAAGCUUAAGGACUAAACUGUGAAAAAGUUAAAAUGUUAGGGGCAAAUUGGUAAUUUUCAUAAAUAUGAAAUUUGGAUUAAAUUAAAUACUAGAAAUAUGAAAUUGAUUUAAAUUCUCCAUUUAGAUCAAGAUAAACCACGUACGGACCUAGAUCAAGGAAAAGCAAAGGCUUCUGAAUAGUUUGACCUAACUACUAUGACCCUAGUCGUCAAGGUAAGUUUGUAUGAAGGUUAUUGUGUUAUUGUUACUUAAAUUGAAUGUUUGCUAUGUUACUCUUAAUGUGAAUGGAUUGAUAUAUAUAAACAUAUCAAUGUUAUGAUGAAUUGACAAUUAUCGAGUCCCGGUUGAACAUUAGGAAAUCUUAGGAUACAAAUGACAUAUCAUUUGGGAUUUCAUGUUUCGGGUGCUAGUCUUGAAUGUCCUAUCGAUGGAUGAGGUCCUAUAUUUUUUGUGAAUUCUCCACAGCUAGUGUGAGCAGCAUCCUGUAGCUUACAUUCGACCCACAGCUCGUUUGAGCAUGCCCAUUUCACAGCUUGUGUGAAAAAUAAUGUAAAGGAAAGGUUACGAUUGUAUGUAGAGGCACACCUUUGUGUGAGAUUCCCUAAGUAUCUGAGGUAAUUCUAAUUGGUUCAACAGGAAAGAAAAAGGAACAUAAUGGUAAGUAUGUAAAUGGAAUGAAUCAUGAUUUAAUGAAAGGCUUGAUAAACUAAAUAAUGUUGUAUGUACCUUAUGAAUGAUUUCAUUUAUGCUAUGGAUGAACAGACUAACUUGUGAGUUGGUGAUGUUGCAUAUGUUUACACUAAGAUUAUGGUAUUGGUAUUGAUUUGUACUUAUUAUAUGAAUUGUACUAUAAAAAUGGUAAGUUACGUUUUAAUUUUAUACGAGCUUACUAAGCAUUCAUUACUUACAUAGUUUCUUUCUUAGUUUCUUCCUUGUCAAAUUGUGUCAUUUUGGUUAUCUUAUUAUGCAUGGUUGUAUAGCUCUUUAUGGUAAGUUUGAAAUGGUAUGAUAAUGAUCAUAUUUGUGGUAUGUUUUGAUAAAUAUUGAAGUAGAACAUCAUGCUUGGAUUGUGGUAUUUUUUAUAUGCUUAGGUAGGCGUGAUUUUGAAUGUGUUUGAAGUGCCUUUGAAUAGCACAAUGGUUAGUUGUAUUAAGAUCCUGAAAUGGCAUUUUGGUGUAUGUAUUUGUUAUGUUUGGGUCCUUUUGAAGUGUGCUUAAAUGUGUUGAAAGGUCAUGCAUGAAAUGGUCUUGGAAAUGGCUUGAUUUUAGGUAAAUUUGGGUCCACACGGCCAGAGACACGGGCGUGUGACUCAGCCGUGUGAGACAUACGGCCUGGCGACAUGGCCCUGUGUCAUCUGAUGAUUUUCUUAUGUUGUAACAACCCGUUUAGUAAAAUCAAAAUAGUGGUUUCGAAACCAUAAACUCGAUGUCAAAAAAUUAUUUGAAUAUUAUUUUAAGUGUUUACAGCAUGAUAGCAUGUAUGAGUGAAAGUUUUGUGAAGUAAUUUUGUAACACCCCUAUCCCGUAACCAUCACCGGAAUAGGUAAGGGGCAUUACCGGACUUGUAACUCAUGUCAGAACAGUAAAAUUUUGAACUUUUUCUUGAAAUAAAGAUCAUUCAUUUAAAUAAGUACUAAGCACAGCCAGGGAUAAAAUUUAAACUUCUCUAAGUAAACAUUCAAAAGAUGCCAUUUUCGCAUGGCUUAUAUACAUUAACCAAAAAUAUUCUUCCGCCACUAGUCUAUUCUAUACAUGCCAUAAAAUAAUUCUAAACAUAACAGUAAUAAGCAGUGGAUAGUGAUAGUGUGACUAGUUGCUGACGAUCCCCGAGCCUGUAGCUUCGCAAUGAGAUCUAUAAAAUAGAGAAAACAAAGUAAACGGAGUAAGCAUUACAAUGCUUAGUAAGUUUUAAGCAGUGACAACAGAUAACAAUCAAAUUAUAACAUAGUUGUUCAUAUUUUUAUUUCACUCUUCCUUCGGGCAUACCAUCCCUUUACCGAAUAUGCACAUCUCAUCAUAUACAAUAGGCAGAUAAACUUUCACAUAAAAGUGAGCUCAUGUGACAUAGAUAUAUUGUAUGAUUUCACAUAUCCUCUCACACUGAUCCGAAGUCACAUAAUCAUAGGAAUAGUCUCAUAGAUUGCUCUCAUAUGCAUCACAUAACUACCUUAUGAUUUAGUUCAAAUCAAGCUCACAUAUAAACUUGGAGUACAUACCUGUUUAACCUUUCGCAUUGAAUAUAUUUAUAUGCAAUUCUUAUUACGAAGUCUUAUAGCUCUAACCUCUACUCGGAUUAUCGGUGAGACCUUUAGCUCAGACGAAAUCUCCACAUGAAGUUAUCGGGUCUUACCCAGACAAAAUCUCCACACGUAGUUAUCGGGUCUUACCCAGACAUAAUCUCCACACGUAGUCAUUGGGUCUUACCCGGACAUAAUCUCCACACGUAGUCAUCGGGUCUUACCCGGACAUAAUCUCCACACGUAGUCAUCGGGUCUUACCCGGAAUAUAUUUCCAAGUUUCAUGUACAUUUAAUCACAUGUUACAACAUUCACAUCGACUGUCAUAUUUGUAAUUCAUUUGCCUCAUCCAAAAAUCUAAUAAUACACACCUUUCACCGUUUGUCAUUUGGCCACAAUAUAUAUAUACACAUCUCGUACAUAUCUCACAUUAGCCAUUUGGCUUUACCACAUAUCCAUCUCAUACACGUUUCGCAUUAGCCAUUCGGCCUUACCACAUAUAUUCAUGUUCACAUUCAUCACAUUGGCCAUUCGGCCUUAUCUCAUAUAUGCAUGUUCACAUUCAUCACAUUGGCCAUUCGGCCUUAUCACACAUACGCAUGUUCACAUUCAUCACAUUGGCCAUUCGGCCUUAUCACACAUACGCAUGUUCAUAUCCAUCACAGUGGCCAUUCGGCCUUAUCACACAUACGCAUGUUCACAUUCAUCACAUUGGCCAUUCGGCCUUAUCACACAUAUAUAUACGGGUUCACAUUCAUCACAUUGGUCAUUCGGCCUUAUCACACAUACGCAUGUUCACAUCCAUCACAUAAAAUCCUAAAUCAAAAUAUAAAUUUUCAUGUAUUCACAUCACAAUUAUCCAAAUAUACUUCACAUACCACAUAUACUUUCACGUAUACACACUGCCUUGGCUGAAUCUACAUCUAUCAUUUUCCAAUAUCACAAUUUAGAAUUCACGUAUGGGUUUAAUCAAUAGCUUAUGACCAACUAAAACAAGUUUAUCAAGGUUUACAACAUAAUCUCAAAUUCAGCACAAGCUAUUUUUCCUGAGCAAUAGUCACUAAAUUAUUUAUAACUGGAGCUACAAAACUCCAAAUCACUUUAUGUUAAUUUUUCCUGAAUAUAAACUCGUAUAUCUUCCAUCCAUAAAAUUUCCAGAAUUUUAGGUUUGGCCAAUCAAUACCAGAUUUUUCUUAAAGUUUCUCCUGUUUCACUGUUUGACUAAUCUGACCACUCUUCACUACGAAUCAAAUUUCUCAUUUUACAGAAUUCAAAAUGUGUUUUAUUUGAUUUCAUUUGAAACUAGACUCAUUAAGGAGUCUAAGAAUAUAAAUUUUAUCUUAUAACCAUUUUUGUACAAUUUAUAAUGAUUUUCUAAAAACCGAACAGGUGAUUUCGGAGUCAUUCUGACACCAUCUCACACAACUUUAAAUAUCUCUUUCUAGGAAAUUUCUUUGCUCACAAGGUCUCUUUUAUAAGAAACUAGACUAAUUAAGCCUUGAUUACAUAUUUUAUGUAGCCUAUAAUUCCACACCAACAAUUUAUAGUGAUUUUCUAAAUUCACGUUACUGCUGCUGUCCAAAGCAAAUUAUUACAAUUUGCUCUUAAAUUUCCAAGUCCAAACACUUAUGAACUUACCAUUUGAGUUUAAGACAUAUCAUGGCCACAUCAUAUCUUAUUAAAUCAACUCAUUAUGUCCUAUUAUGAUUGAAUUUACUCAACGUUUAAUCACUUAAAACUUACCUCGGAUGUUGUCGAACGAUUUCGGCGGCUAUUCGAUCACUUUUUCCUUUCCUUUAUCCAACUUUGAUCCUCUAAGCUCUUGAGCUAAUUCAAACAAAUUUAACUUAUUAAAGUCUCAUUAUGCUAGCUUAUGGCCGAAUAUGACAAUGAAUUUGAUAGGUCAUAUGGCCACUUUUAGCUCAAAUACAAAAUGGUCAUACGCAUUUUUAAUCACAUUAAGCAAUUUAGUACAAUUAAUCAAACAUUUCCUCAUGUGCACCUUUAUGACCAAAUACACACAUCAUUAACCUAAUAUCAAUUAACUAAGCACUUAACAAAUUCUCCUUGAGCCGAUUGUCUAAGUCAAGAUAGGAUCAUCAUUAUGCUUACCUAUAGCCGAAUGUACAACAUCAAUCUAUGCAUUCAUUCGUGUGGCCGAACAUGCAUGUCUAUGUUGAGGCCGAUUGCAUACUUAAUACAUUCUACAAGUAUGGUCACUUGUAUUGACCAAAUACCAUUUUGUUUCAAGUUCAAAACUUGGCUAAUAUAUAUAUAUGCACUAUUAAAACAUCCUCUCCAUUCCAUCAAUUCAACACAUGCAUUACUCAUUAAUAUACAAAAUUAUAUUCGGCCUUAGCACACCUCUUGCUGGCCGAAUUUUUUCUCCAUCUAGCAACAUUUUAUGUACUAUGCCGAACCAAAAAGAUCAAACACCUAGCUUAAUCAUUUCCAAAACACUUAACCGGCCUUUGACCAAGACUUUAAACAAAGUCUAUGUUCGGCUAUCACACAUAUGGGCAUUAUUAGUUCAAAGUUUUAACAAGAUUAAUUUCUUUGAUCUUAACCUAAAUGACAACCCCCAUUGUUCAUCUAGAUUUAGCAUGAAACAAACACCAACCAAGAAAACAACACCCAUGGCCGAGUAUCAUCUUCAUCACAUAGCAAGAUUUAAACCAUAGGCUAGGUAGAACUCAAACUAACAUCAAAAAUAUGCAUGAAUCUCAUGGAACAACAUCAAACUUACCUUAACCUAGAUACAAGCAUGGCCGAAUCUCUUCAACAUUUCCUCCUCCUAAACACCAACCAACUGAACAUGAAGCAAGAAAAUCCUCUUCUUCUUCCUUCCUCCUUAGAAUUUUCAGCCAAAAGAAAUGUUAAAGGAUGGACACUUUUUUUUUCUUUGUUUUCAUCACCCUCCAUCUCCUUAUUUUAUUACUAACCCCUUAUUUUAUUAUUUCUAACAUAAACCAUUAACACAACAUGUUUAUGACAUGUUUUACCCAUCACCCUUUGUCAUGGCCGGCCAUUAGUAAUUAAAUGGGGGAAAUUGACAUGCAAGUCCACCCCUUUGAUUACAUGCACUAAUAGAUCCUUAUAGAUUAACCUAUCACAUUUCAAAAGUGUCACACAUAAGUCCUAUUAACUAAAUUCACAUGCAAUUAACUAAAUCAAAGCUUAAAACUUUCACACAUUCAUAUUCACAUAUUUUAGGCAAUAAUUAUCAUAUUCAAAUAAUUUGGUGACUUAGUUUAGCGGUCCCAAAACCGCUUUCCGACUAGGGUCACUUUAGGGGUGUCACAAAUUUUAUCGUUUGAAUGCUUAAUUCGAUAAAAAGGACUAAAUCACGUAAAGUGCAAAAGUGAUGUUCUAUUAGCUAAAGGUGUCUAAUAGCUAUAGAACCUUAAAGUAAAGGUCCUUAAGUGGUAAUUAACCCAUUUGAAAGUUAGUGGAUGAUAGUGGCAUGGCAAUUGGUGUAAUUAUUAAAUGUUUUAAAGGUUAAAUAAGUAAAUUAGUUAAUAAAGGUUAAUUAAAACAAAACAAAUUCAUAAUUUUUGUCCAUCUUCAUGCUAAUAGCCGAAUUUAACAAAGGAGAAAGCCAUUCUUAGGCCUUAAAGCAUUCGACCAACUCCUAGCUUAAUUGCAAGUCCGUUUUUGCUCGAUUUUUAAUGAUUUAUAUGUUUUUCUGAUAGUUGCAACUAGUACUAGCUAGCCCAGGGACUAUUUUGAAAAACUGUUAGAGAUUUUAAAUGAUUCCAUUGAUGAAUACAUGUGUAUUUUGAAGUUUCUUAAUAGAUUAUGAAUGCUUGUUGAUAGAUAUACAAGUUUUGUUAAGUGAUUUUUAGUGAAAAUGCAAAAUAGGGAUUAAAUUAAAAAAUGUUGAAACUUGAUGGUUAAAAUGUGAAAUCAAUGAAAAAUAUGGGCUGUUAGGGGUACAAUAGUAAUUCGGCUAAGCAUGGGUGUUUUAAAAUUUGCAUGAAUUUGUGAUUUUGUGUAAUAAGGACUAAAUUGUAAAAAUGUGAAAGUUUAGGGGCUAAUUUGUAAAAUAGCUUAAACGUAUAUUUUGGAUUGAAUUGAAUAAAUAUAUGAUUAAAUGAGUUGAAUUUGAUAUUAUAUAGAUCAAGAAAAAUUGAAUUUGGAAUUGGAUCUGAGAAAAGAUAAAGUAUUCGAUUAAUCGACAAUUUCAUUGUUAUUAAAUUGAGGUAAGUUCGUAUGUGAUAAAUUUCACUAUAACAGUAUUUUAAUUGCUUUGAUAUAUUAUAAGUUGUGAAUACGAGACUUCGGGUAAGUUCGACAUUAACUCUAUGACAAUUCAACAUCCGAAAUCCUGGUUGAACCUUGGGAAUAGUUUAGGAUACUAGUGACAUGUCAUUAGGGGAUAUGUAACAUCCGGAUUUUGGGCCUAGUCAGAAUAAUGGUUUUGAGACCACAAAUUCAAAGUAGAAAUAAUUAUUUUAUGAAUGUGUUGAGGUCUAUGAUAUGUUUGCAUGAUUGUAUGAAACUUCAGUUAAGAAAUUUUGUUGAUAGAGUGUCCAAUUUGAUUUUUAGGACUAAAUUGAAAAAGUUGCAAAAUAUGUGAUUCUAGAAGCUUUAAGCAUGGAAUAGCUAUGGAUUAUUAAUUAGACGCCCUUAAAUAGCAAUUUAACCAAUUUCUAUUUUUAUGGACAAAAAUGGGCAUGAAUAAGUAAAAUUGAAGGUUUAGUAAAAAGGGCAUUUUGGUCAUUUGGUUAAUAAAAGAAUAGAAAGGGAAAAUUAAUUCAAAAUUUGCUCAUCUUCUCCAUGCCAUAGCUGAAAUUCCUAAGGUCACCUUAGCUAGGGUUCUUCAACUUUCAAGCUUGAUUGUAAGUGCAUUCUAGCCUCGUUUUUAAUGUUCUUUACAUUUUUGAAGUUGUUGUCAACUGAUCUAGCCAUUUCUACCGUUUAUUUGAGCUUGAGUUGAUGUCUAAGGUUUGACCCAUAAGUGACAUGUAUGUAUUUUGAUGUUUCAUGGUAGAUUAUGAAAGUUUGAUGUGUAAUAAACAACCUUUACUAGGUGAUUUUUUAUGAAAAUACCUAAAAUAGACCUAUUUGUACAAGUUGUAAAAUGUGUAGUAAAAAUCUGAUUUGAUGAAAAAUGUGGGCUGAUAUGAGCAUGUGUGUGGGUCGGCUAGGCUUGAGUAACAAAGAAAUUGAAUGCAUUUCAUUUGACGAGCCUAAGGACUAAUUUGUAAAUAUGUGAAAGUUUAGGGGAAAAACUAUAAUUUUUCGAAAGUAUGGUUUUUGGAUUGAUUUGAACAAUUUGGUAAUUAAAAGAGCUAAAUUUGAUAUUACAUAUGAAGAAAAACAGAGUCCAAACCUAGACCGGGGAAAGAACAAGGUUGUGGACUAAAUCGAGUUAGUUAGCUAUAUUUUGUACUGAGGUAAGUUCAUAUGUAAAUAAUACAAUAUUAUGAUCAUAUUUUUAAUGCAUUAAUAUUGUAUGAAUUGUAUAAUUGAUUCGAUGAACAAAUUCGACAAGUUCCGAAAAGAGAGAGAAAAUCCUGUUUGAACCUUAGGAAUAGAAUAGGAUACGAGUGACAUGUCACUAGGACCCAUGUGAUAUAUAUGAUUAUGUGAUUUGAGUGCUGGUCAUGUACGUCCUACCGGUGGCUAGGUAGUUCGGCAUGUGUUACGGAUGCCUGGUAGCUUGUGUGAGUAGCUCGUGUAGCUACGCCUUGACCGUCUGCUUGUGUGAGCAGACCCGUGAUUAGCUCGAGAGCGAGCAUUUAUGUGAUAUGAAAUAUGAGGUAGCUUUGGCUAUAUAUGUUGCACUUGUGUGCAAAGACCUUCUGUGUAUCCGUUUAGUAUUCCAAGUGUUCAACGGGUAUGUCAAAAACGAGAAAAAGUAUGUUAAGUCACAAGUUGGUACAGGUAUGUACGAAAAACUCAUAAGAUUGAGCUUGUUAAGUGAUGAACUUUUAGUAAGAUUAAGAAUGAUAAAGUUAUGCUUAUGAAACUAUGAUGAUCAGUAUGUGAUUUAUGCUAAGUUAAAUUGUAUGAUAUUCAUGCUAAAUGUUGCUUAAUAUUGUUUAUUAUUGCAUAUGAACUUACUAAGCUCUAUGCUUACUCCCUUUCUUUCCAUUUUCUUAUAGUAUCGCCAAGCUAGCUCCAGAAUCGAAGGACGUGGGAGCUCGAUUCACACUAUCAAAUUAAUCUUUCGGGUAUUCAUGAUUUCAUAUUUUGAGUAUGGCAUGUAUAGGGACAUGGUCUUUUUGUGAUAUGUUUCAUUAUUGAUUUGGCCAAAUGUGUUGGCUUGUAACGGUAAUUGAUUCAUUUUGUAAAUGGUCAUAUGGUAUUGGCUAAUAUUGGCUAAGUAUAUAUAUACAUAUGAUGAUGCCUUUCAUGGAUGUGGUUAUCGCAUGGUUUGUAAUUAUAAGUAUGAGAUGUUGUAUGUAAUAGAAAUUGGCAUGAAAUUGAUGUGUGGAUGUCUUGGUUGUGGCUGAAUUGGUAAUGUGUAUAUGUUUGGAUUGGUGUUCUUUAAUGUUGUGUAGGUUGGUGCAAGUAAGGGUGGCAAAAAGGCUUGGUAAAUAACCCUAUUUUUGUCCACACGGGUAGACACACGGGCAUGUGUCUAGGCUAUGUGUGAUACACGGUCUACCCCCAUGGGCGUCGGAUCCGACCGUGUGUCCCCUGCACCUUAAUUUUAGUAUCAGAAUGCUCAGUAUUGAUUACACAAGUGCGAGACACGGCCGUGUGUCUCGACCGUGUGAGAGACACGGCCUUGGGACUUAGGCAUGUUUCCUGGCCAUGUGAAGUCUGCAUCUAUUUUGUGAAAAAUUAUAGAAUUUAAUCGUCCACACGGCCUAAGCACACGGGCAUGUGCCUUGGCCAUGUGACCUCAUUUAUUACAUGACGUCAUAAACAGAGAGUUACACGGGCUAAGGACACAGGAAUGUCCUAAGCCACACGGGCAUGUGUGAUCACAUGGCUUACCCACACGGGUGUGUGACCUUCCAAAGCAUGAAAAUUUUUUUAAGUGUUGUAAAAGUUUUGAAAGUUCUCAGUUUAGUCUCGAAUCACUCCCAAUGUAUGUUUUGAGCCUCGUAGGCUCGUUUAAGGGACGAUGCGAAUGAUUUUGAAAAGUUUUAAAUUUGCAUGGAAAUUUAUGUUUUGGUUCUACAUGAUUUCUUGUGUAUAAAUCCGGUAAUACCUUGUACCCUAUUCUGGCAUCGAAUACGGGUAAGGGGUGUUACACGAUACAUGUGUUGGUUUCGGGACAUGAUAUUAGCAUUUCGGGUGCCAUUUAUACUGAUUUGGCUUCGGGCCAUGAAUAUCGGCUGGUUUUGCUUUGAGCCAUUAUAUCAGUAUUUCAAACAUAAAUUAACUUGAUUUAGCUUUGGGCCAUGGUAUAGGUACUUAGUCUGCGAGACUCCUGAGUAUCCAACUUCCCAAAAUUUGUGCUGCUAUAUAAUGCAUAUAAGGUUAAACCAUGGAUCAUACCAAUAAAAUUACUUCUUUUCAAUUUUAAUGGAAAUAGGAACAUUAAUAAAAAUAUUAUUGAAAAUAAAAAAAGGGUCACCCAGGAGUAUUUAGCCUUGCAAGGUGGUCCUUGCUGAUUCACACGGGAUUCCACGUGCCCCAUGCUACUCGGGUCAGAGCGUAAGCUAGUGAUGCUUUCGGCUACUGGACUAUCGCCAUCUAGGGUUCGGCACUUCACCGCUUCGCCUAGCAGCACGACGCUUUUAUUGCUCUCCCACAACCCCAUUUUCACGGUUUAGGCUGCUCGGCAGAACAACUCAAAAGAUAAAGAAGUAUCGUUAAUUUCUUCAUGCUCGUUCCAAGCUAGAAGUACCAUUUGUACAAAUAAGAAUCCCCUUCGUUACAUGAUUUCUUC
rnacentral:lncRNA from 1 species